rnacentral:lncRNA from 1 species
UGUCCAGUGUCAUUUUUUCACUGCUUCAUGGUUAAGAAGUUGCAGGCGCCAGCUCCAGUGGCUGGUCUCCAGGGUUGCUGAUCCUGGAACGUCUGUUGACAUGUCUGGUUGAUAUUGAUAUUGUUAUUGAGUUUGGGUCUGUCAGUAUGUUGAGGUGCUGUGUGUUGUUCUCUAGUGUGUGUGUGGUGUCAUGUAGGGUUGCUUUUUUCUUGCGGUUCCUCUUAGGAAUGUCUGGUCUUCGGGAUCUGGCCGUCGCGAGGCGCAUACUAGAGCCUCGCGACUACAACCCUGUAUGGUUGUUUUUCUUGACAGGUCCCUGAUUUUACCGGCAUGAUGUUGAGGACUGUAAUCUUUGCAACCUUAUAAGAAUAAAUGAAGUAUGUGUUUGUUUUGCAAGUUCUAUUCUUGUACAUCCAUUGAUUUUUUCUUCAAUAUGUUUAUCAAGGAUGUCAAGUGUGUUGUCUAGUAACAAGAUGCAUUCUUGAAAGUUGGCUGCUCGAUGUGCCAAAAUUUGAAAUUUGAGGGGCAUAUUUUGAUAUCCAAGAAUGGCAUCCAUAUUUGGAUUUGCGAUUAUAUUUCUUCCCAUGUUGUCUUGUACAAUUCCAGUCCGUACUUCUCUUGGCCAUCGCUUUAACACAUGAUAUGCCGUUGUGACUUGAUAUUCAUCAAAUCAAGAACUUUAAGAGCAUGGCCACAUAAUAUUCCAAUUCUAUCAAACAUCCAGCAACUGCACUCAAUUGUUUGCUUGCUCACGUUUUUCCUCCUAAGGUCAGACUUCUGUUCAAAAUCGGCAAUGUCUUUGUACUCAAACAUGCACGCACUAAAAUCUGACAGAAUACGUGUUUCUUCAUUCUCCUAUAUUUUCUUCUCUUCAUUCUUCUCUCUUUUCUUCUCUUUUUUCUUUUCUUCAUUUUCCUCUUCACCCUUCUAUUCAUGUAAAUGUUUGACAACAUUUUGCAUAAUGUGAAAGGUGCGUAAUCCAUGUCAUGCUUCUGCAAACACUUCCCCAAUGACCUUUCCCAUUGCAACAUCUUGAUCUAUAUAGAAUGGUUUAGGCCCCUUUCCUUUGUGAGAUAUUAGAAAGGCCUAAAACGACCACUUGAAGGACGCACAUGUUUCAUCAUACAUGAGAGCAUCAUCAAAAACUAUAGUUUCUCUAAAAUGAUUGAAACCGACAUAGACACUUGUUGGAUAUAUGUCCUAGAGGCAAUAAUAAAAUGAUUAUUAUUGUAUUUGCUUGUUCAUGAUAAUUGUCUAUUGUUCAUGCUAUAAUUGUAUUAACCGGAAGUCGUAAUACAUGUGUGAAUACAUAGACCAUAACACGUCCCUAGUAAGCCUCUAGUUGACUAGCUCGUUGAUCAAUAGAUGGUCAUGGUUUCCUGACCAUGGACAUUGGAUGUCAUUGAUAACAGGAUCACAUCAUUAGGAGAAUGAUGUGUUGGAAAUAUGCCCUAGAGGCAAUAAUAAAAGUGUUAUUAUUAUAUUUCCUUGUUCAUGAUAAUUGUCUUUUAUUCAUGCUAUAACUGUAUUAUCCGGAAAUCGUAAUACACGUGUGAAUACAUAGACCACAAUAUGUCCCUAGUGAGCCUCUAGUUGACUAGCUCGUUGUGAUCAACAGAUAGUCAUGAUUUCCUGGCUAUGGACAUUGGAUGUCGUUGAUAACGGGAUCACAUCAUUAGGAGAAUGAUGUGAUGGACAAGACCCAAUCCUGAGCAUAGCACAAAGAUCGUGUAGUUCGUUUGCUAGAGCUUUGCCAAUGUUAAGUAUCUCUUCCUUUGACCAUGAGAGCGUGUAACUCCUGGAUACCGUAGGAGUGCUUUGGGUGUAUCAAACGUCACAACGUAACUGGGUGACUAUAAAGGUGCACUACAGGUAUCUUCGAAAGUAUCUAUUGUUUUAUGCGGAUCGAGACUGGGAUUUGUCACUCCGUGUAAACGGAGAGGUAUCUCUGGGCCCACUCGGUAGGACAUCAUCAUAUGCGCAAUGUGACCAAGGAGUUGAUCACGGGAUGAUGUGUUACGGAACGAGUAAAGUGACUUGCCGGUAACGAGAUUGAACAAGGUAUCGGAUACCGACGAUCGAAUCUCGGGCAAGUAACAUACCGAUAGACAAAGGGAAUUGAAUACGGGAUUGAUUAAGUCCUUCACAUCGUGGUUCAUCCGAUGAGAUCAUCGUGGAACAUGUGGGAGCCAUCAUGGGUAUCCAGAUCCCGCUGUUGGUUAUUGACCGGAGAACGUCUCGGUCAUGUCUGCAUGUCUCCCGAACCCGUAGGGUCUACACACUUAAGGUUCGAUGACGUUAGGGUUAUAAAGGAAGUUUGUAUGUGGUUACCGAAUGUUGUUCGGAGUCCCGGAUGAGAUCCCGGACGUCACGAGGAGUUCCGGAAUGGUCCGGAGGUAAAGAUUUAUAUAUGGGAAGUCCUAUUUUGGCCACCGGAAAAUGUUCGGGAUUUUUCGGUAUUGUACCGGGAAGGUUCUAGAAGGUUCCGGAGUGGGGCCCACCUGCAUGGGGGGACCCACAUGAACGUGGGUAGUGGGGGCAAGGCCCCACACCCCUGGUCAAGGCGCACCAAGAUCCCCCCUUAGAAGGAAUAAGAUCAUAUCCCGAAGGGAUAAGAUCAAGAUCCCUAAAAAGGGGGGAUAAUAAUCGGUGGGGAAGGAAAUGAUGGGAUUUCUUUCCUUCCACCUUGGCCAACGCCCCAAUGGACUUGGAGGGCAAGAAACCAGCCCCUCCACCCCUAUAUAUAGUGGGGAGACGCAUGGGAGCUUCAGACGAAGUUCUGGCGCAGCCCUCCCCCUCUCACAAGUACUCCUCCUCUCCCGCGGUGCUUGGCGAAGCCCUGCAGGAUUGCCACGCUCCUCCACCACCACCACGCCAUUGUGCUGCUGUUGGAUGGAGUCUUCCUCAACCUCUCCCUCUCUCCUUGCUGGAUCAAGGCGUGGGAGACGUCACCGGGCUGUAUGUGUGUUGAACGCGGAGGUGCCGUGCGUUCGGCACUUGAUCAUCGGUGAUUUGAAUCACGACGAGUACGAAUCCAUCAACCCCGUUCACUUGAACGCUUCCGCUUAGCGAUCUACAAGGGUAUGUAGAUGCACUCUCCUUCUACUCGUAGCUGGUUUCUCCAUAGAUAGAUCUUGGUGACACGUAGGAAAUUUUUUGAAUUUCUGCUACGUUCCCCAACAGUGGCAUCAUGAGCUAGGUCUAUUGCGUAGAUUCUUUGCACGAGUAGAACACAAAGUAGUUGUGGGCGUUGAUGUUGUUCAAUAUGCUUACCGUUACUAGUCCAAUCUUGUUUCGACGGUAUUGUGGGAUGAAGCGGCCCGGACCGACCUUACACGUACUCUUACGUGAGACAGGUUCCACCGAUUGACAUGCACUUGGUGCAUAAGGUGGCUAGCGGGUGCCAGUCUCUCCCACUUUAGUCGGAACGGAUCCGAUGAAAAGGGUCCUUAUGAAGGGUAAAUAGCAAUUGGCAUAUCACGUUGUGGUUUUGCGUAGGUAAGAAACGUUCUUGCUAGAAACCCAUAGCAGCCACGUAAAACAUGCAAACAACAAUUAGAGGACGUCUAACUUGUUUUUGCAGGGUAUGCUAUGUGAUGUGAUAUGGCCAAAAGGAUGUGAUGAAUGAUAUAUGUGAUGUAUGAGAUUGAUCAUGUUCUUGUAAUAGGAUUCACGACUUGCAUGUCGAUGAGUAUGACAACCGGCAGGAGCCAUAUGAAUUGUCUUUAUUUAUUGUAUGACCUGCGUGUCAUUGAAGAACGCCAUGUAAACUACUUUACUUUAUUGCUAAACGCGUUAGUCAUAGAAGUAGAAGUAGUCGUUGGCGUGACAACUUCAUGAAGACACGAUGAUGGAGAUCAUGAUGAUGAAGAUCAUGGUGUCAUGCCGGUGACAAGAUGAUCAUGGAGCCCCGAAGAUGAAGAUCAAAGGAGCUAUAUGAUAUUGGCCAUAUCAUGUCACUACUCUAUUUGAUUGCAUGUGAUGUUUAUCAUGUUUAUGCAUCUUGUUUGCUUAGAACGACGGUAGUAAAUAAGAUGAUCCCUUACAACAAUUUCAAGAAGUGUUCUCCCCUAACUGUGCACCGUUGCUACAGUUCGUCGCUUCUAAGCACCACGUGAUGAUCGGGUGUGAUGGAUUCUUACGUUCACAUAAAACGGGUGUAAGACAGUUUUACACAGCGAAAACACUUAGGGUUAACUUGACGAGCCUAGCAUGUACAUACAUGGCCUCGGAACACGGAGACCGAAAGGUCGAGCAUGAGUCGUAUAGUAGAUACGAUCAACAUGAAGAUGUUCACCGAUGAUGACUAGUCCGUCUCACGUGAUGAUCGGACACGGCCUAGUUGACUCGGAUCAUGUAAUCACUUAGAUGACCAGAGGGAUGUCUAUCUGAGUGGGAGUUCAUAAGAUGAACUUAAUUAUCCCGAACAUAGUCAAAAGACCUUUUGCAAAUUAUGUCGUAGCUCGCGCUUUAGUUCUACUGUUUUAGAUAUGUUCCUAGAGAAAAUAUAGUUGAAAGUUGAUAGUAGCGAUUAUGCGAACAGUAGAAAGCUUAUGUCCUUAAUGCACUGCUCAGUGUGCUGAACCCCAAACGUCGUUUGUGGAUGUUUCGAACAUCGAACAUACACGUUUUGAUAACUACGUGAUAGUUCAGUUAAAUGGUUUAAGUAGAGGCACCAAAGACAUUUUCGAAACAUCGCGGAACAUAUGAGAUGUUUCGAGGGCUGAAAUUGGGAUUUCAGGCUCGUGCUCACGUCAAGAGGUAUAAGACCUCCGACGAUUCUCUUAGCCUGCAAACUAAGGGAGAAAAUCUCAAUCGUUGAGCUUGUGCUUAGAUUGUCUGAGUGCAACAAUCACUUGAAUUGAGUGGGAGUUGAUCUUCCAAAUGAGAUAGUGAUGUUUCUCCAAAGUCAUUGCCACCGAGCUGCUAGAGCUUCGUGAUGAACAAUAAAAUAUCAGGGAUAAAUAAGAUGAUCCUUGAGGUAUUCACGAUGUUUGACACCGCGAAAGUAGAAAUCAAGAAGGAGCAUCAAUUGUUGAUGGUUGGUGAAACCACUAGUUUCAAGAAGGGCAAGGGCAAGAAGGGAUACUUCAUGAAACGGCAAAUCAGCUGCUGCUCCAGUGAAGAAACCCAAGGUUGAACCCAAACCCGAGACUAAGUGCUUCUGUAAUAAGGGGAACAGUCACUAGAGCAGAAUUACCCUAGAUACUUGGUAGAUGAGAAGGCUGGCAAGGUCGAUAGAAGUAUAUUGGAUAUACAUUAUGUUAAUGUGUACUUUACUAGUACUCCUAGUAGCACCAGGGUAUAAGAUACCGGUUCGGUUGCUAAGUGUUAGUAACUCGAAAUAAAAGCUACGGCAUAAACGGAGACUAGCUAAAGGUGAGCUGACGAUAUGUGUUGGAAGUGUUUCCAAUGUUGAUAUGAUCAAGCAUCGCACGCUCCCUCUACCAUCGAGAUUUGGUGUUUGCGUUGAGCAUAGACAUGAUUGGAUUAUGUCUAUCGCAAUACGGUUAUUCAUUUAAAGAGAAUAAUGGUUAUUCUAUUUAUUUGAAUAAUACCUUCAAUGGUCUUGCACCUAAAAUGAAUGGUUCAUUGAAAUCUCGAUUGUAGUGAUACACAUGUUCAUGCCAAAAGAUAGUAAUGAUAGUACCACCUAUUUGUGGCACUGCCACGUAAGUCAUAUCGGUAUAAAAUGCAUGAAGAAGCUCCAUGUUGAUGGAUCUUUGGACUCACUCAAUUUUGAAAAGUUUGAGACAUGCGAACCAUGUCUAUUGGUAUAUAUGCAUGAAGAAACUCCAUGCAAAUGGACCGUUUGAACUCACUUGAUUUUGAAUCACUUGAGAUAUGCAAAUCAUACCACAUGGGCAAGAUGACUGAAAAGCCUCGGUUUCAGUAAGAUGGAACAAGAUAGCAACUUGUUGGAAGUAACACAUUUUGAUGUGUGUAGUCCAAUGAGUGCUGAGGCAUGCAGUGAAUAUCAUUAUGUUCUUACUUCACAGAUGAUUCGAGUAGAUGUUGAAUAUAUUUACUUGAUGAAACACAAGUCUGAAUUAUUGAAUGGUUCAAGUAAUUUCAGAGUAAAGUUGAAGAUCAUCGUGACAAGAGGAUAAAAUGUCUAUGAUAAGAUCAUAGAGAUGAGUAUCUGAGUUACGAGUUUUGGCACACAAUUAAGACAUUGUGGAAAUUGUUUCACAAUUAAUACCGCCUGGAACACCAUAGUGUGAUGGUGUGUCCGAACAUCAUAACUGCACCCUAUUGGAUAUGAUGCAUACCAUGAUGUCUCUUAUCGAAUUACCACUAUCGUUCAUGGGUUAGGCAUUAGAGACAACCACAUUCACUUUAAAUAGGGCACCACGUAAUUCCGUUGAGAUGACACCGUAUGAAUUAUGGUUUAGAGAAACCUAAGUUGUCGUUUCUUAAAAGUUUGGGGCUGCGACGCUUAUAUGAAAAAAGUUUCAGGUUGAUAAGCUCGAACCCAAAGCGGAUAAAAUGCAUCUUCAUAGGAAAACCAAAACAGUUGGGUAUACCUCCUAAUUCAGAUCCGAAAGCAAUAUGGAUUGUUUCUUGAAUCGGGUCCUUUCUCGAGGAAAAGUUUCUCUCGAAAGAAUUGAGUGGGAGGAUGGUGGAAACUUGAUGAGGUUAUUGAACCGUCUCUUCAACUAGUGUGUGGCAGGGCACAGGAAGUUGUUCCUGUGGCACCUACACCAAUUGAAGUGGAAGCUUAUGAUAUUGAUCAUGAAACUUCGGAUCAAGUCACUACCAAACCUCGUGGGAUGACAAGGAUGCGUACUACUUCAGAGUGGUACAUAAUCCUGUCUUGAAGGUCAUGUUGCUAGACAACAAUGAACCUACGAGCUAUGGAGAAGCGAUGGUGGGCCCGAAUUCCGACAAUUGGUUAGAAGCCAUGAAAUCCGAGAUAGUAUCCAUAUAUCAGAACAAAGCAUGGACUUUGAUGGACUUGCCCGAUGAUCGGCAAUCCAUUGAGAUAAAUGGAUCUUUUAAGAAGAAGACGGACGUGGAUGGUAAUGUCACCAUCUAUGAAGCUUGACUUGUGGCAAAGUGUUUUCCGACAAGUUCAAGGAGUUGACUACGAUGAGAUUUUCUCACUCGUAGCGAUGCUUAAAGUCCGUCGGAAUCAUGUUAGCAUUAGCUGCAUUUAUGAAAUCUGGCAGAUGGAUGUCAAGACAAGUUUCCUUACCAGUUUUCGUAAGGAAAGGUUGUAUGCAAUACAAUCAGAAAAGUUUUGUCGAUCCUAAGGAUGCUAAAAGGUAUGCUAGCUCCAGCGAUCCUUCUAAGGACUGGAGUAAGCAUCUCGGAGUUGGAAUGUACGCUUUGAUGAGAUGAUCAAAGAUUUUGGAUUUAUACAAAGUUUAUGAGAAACUUGUAUUUCCAAAGAAGUGAGUGGGAGCACUAUAGAAUUUCUGAUGAGUAUAUGUUGUUGACAUAUUGAUGAUCAGAGAUGAUGUAGAAUUUCUAGAAAGCAUAUAGGGUUAUUUGAAAGGUGUUUUUCAAUAGAAAACCUAGAUUAAGCUACUUGAACAUUGAGCAUCAAGAUCUAUAAGGAUAGAUCAAAAUGCUUAAUAAUACUUUCAAAUGAGCACAUACCUUGACAUGAUCUUGAAGGUGUUCAAGAUGGAUCAGUCAAAGAAGAAGUUCUUGCCUGAGUUGUAAGGUGCGAAGUUAAGACUUAAAUCUCGACCUCGGCAGAAAAGAGAGAAAGGACGAAGGUCGUCCCCUAUGCUUAAGACAUAGGCUCUACAGUAUGCUAUGUUGUGUACCGCACCUGACGUGUGCCUUGCCAUGAGUCAGUCAAGGGGUACAAGAGUGAUCCAAAAAUGGAUCAUAGGACAGCGGUCAAAGUUAUCCUUAGUAACUAGCGGACUAAGGAAUUUUUCUCGGUUAUGGAGGUGGUAAAAGAGUUCGUCGUAAAGGGUUACGUCGAUACAAGCUAAACACCUAUCCGGAUAGCUCUGAGUAGAGAGACCGGAUACAUAUAAUGAAGCAACAAUUUAGAAUAACUCCAAGUAGAACAGUUAUUUGGAAUAGCUCCAAAUAGAGCGUGGUAGUUGCAUCUAGGAGAUGACAUAGAGAUUUGUAAAGCACACACGGAUCUGAAAGGUUCAGACCCGUUGACUAAAACCUCUCUCACAAGCAACAUGAUCAAACAUAAAACUCAUUGAGUGUUAAUCACAUAGUGAUGUGAACUAGACUACUGACUCUAGUAAACUCUUGGGUAUUAGUCACAUGGCGAUGUGACCUGUGAGUGUUAAUCACAUGGCGAUGUAAACUAGAUUAUUGACUCUAGUGCAAGUGGGAGACUGUUGGAAAUAUGCCCUAGAGGCAAUAAUAAAAGUGUUAUUAUUAUAUUUCCUUGUUCAUGAUAAUUGUCUUUUAUUCAUGCUAUAACUGUAUUAUCCGGAAAUCGUAAUACACGUGUGAAUACAUAGACCACAAUAUGUCCCUAGUGAGCCUCUAGUUGACUAGCUCGUUGUGAUCAACAGAUAGUCAUGAUUUCCUGGCUAUGGACAUUGGAUGUCGUUGAUAACGGGAUCACAUCAUUAGGAGAAUGAUGUGAUGGACAAGACCCAAUCCUGAGCAUAGCACAAAGAUCGUGUAGUUCGUUUGCUAGAGCUUUGCCAAUGUUAAGUAUCUCUUCCUUUGACCAUGAGAGUGUGUAACUCCUGGAUACCGUAGGAGUGCUUUGGGUGUAUCAAACGUCACAACGUAACUGGGUGACUAUAAAGGUGCACUACAGGUAUCUCCGAAAGUAUCUAUUGUUUUAUGCGGAUCGAGACUGGGAUUUGUCACUCCGUGUAAACGGAGAGGUAUCUCUGGGCCCACUCGGUAGGACAUCAUCAUAUGCGCAAUGUGACCAAGGAGUUGAUCACGGGAUGAUGUGUUACGGAACGAGUAAAGUGACUUGCCGGUAACGAGAUUGAACAAGGUAUCGGAUACCGACGAUCGAAUCUCAGGCAAGUAACAUACCGAUAGACAAAGGGAAUUGAAUACGGGAUUGAUUAAGUCCUUGACAUCGUGGUUCAUCCGAUGAGAUCAUCAUGGAACAUGUGGGAGCCAUCAUGGGUAUCCAGAUCCCGCUGUUGGUUAUUGACCGGAGAACGUCUCGGUCAUGUCUGCAUGUCUCCCGAACCCGUAGGGUCUACACACUUAAGGUUCGAUGACGCUAGGGUUAUAAAGGAAGUUUGUAUGUGGUUACCGAAUGUUGUUCGGAAUACCGGAUGAGAUCCCGGACGUCACGAGGAGUUCCGGAAUGGUCCGGAGGUAAAGAUUUAUAUAUGGGAAGUCCUAUUUUGGCCACCGGAAAAUGUUCGGGAUUUUUCGGUAUUGUACCGGGAAGGUUCUAGAAGGUUCCGGAGUGGGGCCCACCUGCAUGGGGGGACCCACAUGAACGUGGGUAGUGGGGGCAAGGCCCCACACCCCUGGUCAAGGCGCACCAAGAUCCCCCCUUAGAAGGAAUAAGAUCAUAUCCCGAAGGGAUAAGAUCAAGAUCCCUAAAAAGGAGGGAUAACAAUCGGCGGGGAAGGAAAUGAUGGGAUUUCUUUCCUCCCACCUUGGCCAACGCCCCAAUGGACUUGGCGUGCAAGAAACCAGCCCCUCCACCUCUAUAUAUAGUGGGGAGACGCAUGGGAGCUUCAGACGAAGUUCUGGCGCAGCCCUCCCCCUGUCACAAGUACUCCUCUCCCGCGGUGCUUGGCGAAGCCCUGCAGGAUUGCCACGCUCCUCCACCACCACCACGCCGUUGUGCUGCUGUUGGAUGGAGUCUUCAUCAACCUCUCCCUCUCUCCUUGCUGGAUCAAGGCGUGGGAGACGUCACCGGGCUGUACAUGUGUUGAACGCGGAGGUGCCGUGCGUUCGGCACUUGAUCAUCGGUGAUUUGAAUCACGACGAGUACGACUCCAUCAACCCCGUUCACUUGAACGCUUCCGCUUAGCGAUCUACAAGGGUAUGUAGAUGCACUCUCCUUCUACUCGUAGCUGGUUUCUCCAUAGAUAGAUCUUGGUGACACGUAGGAAAUUUUUUGAAUUUCUGCUACGUUCCCCAACAUGAUGUGAUGGACAAGACCCAAUCCUAAGCAUAACGCAAGAUCGUGUAGUUCGUCUGCUAAAGCUUUUCUAAUGUCAAGUAUCUUUUCCUUAGACCAUGAGAUUGUGCAAUUCCCGGAUACUGUAGGAAUACUUUGGGUAUGUCAAACGUCACAACGUAACUGGGUGACUAUAGAGGUGCACUACGGGUAUCUCCGAAACUGUCUGUUGGGUUGACACGAAUCGAGACUGAGAUUUGUCACUCCGUAUGACGGAGAGGUAUCUCUGGGCCCACUCGGUAAGACAUCAUCGUAAUGAGCUCAAUGUGACUAAGGGUUAGUCACGGGAUGAUGUGUUACGGAACGAGUAAAGUGACUUGCCGGUAACCAGAUUGAACGAGGUAUUGGGAUACCGAUGAUCGAAUCUCGGGCAAGUAACGUACCGAUUGACAAAGGGAAUUGUAUACGGGAUUGCUUGAAUCCUCGACAUCGUGGUUCAUCCGAUGAGAUCAUCGUGGAACAUGUGUGAGCCAACAUGGGUAUCCAGAUCCCACUGUUGGUUAUUGGCUGAAGAGUUGUCUCGGUCAUAUUUGUAUGGUUCCCGAACCCGUAGGGUCUACACACUUAAGGUUCGAUGACGCUAGGGUUAUUAGAAAGACUUGUAUGUGAUUACUGAAUGUUGUUCGGAGUCCCAGAUGAGAUCCUGAACGUCACAAGGAGUUCCGGAAUGGUCCGGAGGUGAAGAUUUAUAUGUGGGAAGUUGUCAUACGGUCAUCGGAAAGGUUCGGGGGCAUAUCGGUAUUGUACCGGGGCCACCGGAGGGGUUCUGGGGGUCCACCGGGAGGGGUCACCUCUCUCGGAGGGCCUUAUGGGCUGUAAGGGGAAGGGAACCAGCCCCAAGUGGGCUGGGGCGCCAACCCCCCAAGGGCCCAUGCGCCUAGGGUUGGGGGAACCCUAAAGGGGGCGCCCCCCUUGGCUUGAGGGGCAAGCCCCCCCCCCUUGGCCGCCGCCCCCCUCCCUCUAGAUCUCAUCUAGAGGGGGCCGCCCCCUUUCCCUCUCCCUUAUAAAUAGAGGGGCAAAGGGAGGGCUGCACCACCACAUCAUCCAAGGCGCAGCCCCUCCUCUCCUCCUCCGCGUGAGCUUGGCGAAACCCUGCCGAAGAACUAUCACUCCAUCACUACCACGCCGUCGUGCUGCUGUUGGAGCUCUCUUCCUCAACCUCUCGCUCCUCCUUGCUGGAUGAAGAUGCAGGAGACGUCUCCGUUCCGUAUGUGUAUUGAACGCGGAGGUGCCGUCCGUUCGGUGCUAGGAUCAUCGGUGAUUUGGAUCACGACGAGUACGACUCCAUCAACCCCGUUCUCUUGAACGCUUCCGCUUAGCGAUCUUCAAGGUUAUGAAUAUGCACUCCCUCUCCCUCGUUGCUAGUAUCUCCUAGAUUGAUCUUGGUGACACGUAGGAAAAUUUUGAAUUAUUGCUACGUUCCCCAACAGUGGCAUCAUGAGCUAGGUCUAUGCGUAGAUUCUAUGCACGAGUAGAACACAAAGCAGUUGUGGGCGAUGAUUUGUUCAAUUUGCUUACCGUUACUAGUCUUAUCUUGAUCCGGCGGCAUUGUGGGAUGAAGCGGCCCGGACCAACCUUACACGCACGCUUACGUGAGACUGGUUCCACCGACUGACAUGCACUUGAUACAUAAGGUGGCUGGCGGGUGUCUGUCUCUCCCACUUUAGUCGGAUCGGAUUCGAUGAAAAUGGUCCUUAUGAAGGGUAAAUAGCAAUUGGCAUAUCACCGUUGUGGUUUUGCGUAGGUAAGAAACGUUUUUGCUAGAAACCCAUAGCAGUCACGUAAAACAUGCAACAACAAUUAGAGGACGUCUAACUUGUUUUUGCAGGGUUUGCUUUGUGAUGUGAUAUGGCCAAAAGGAUGUGAUGAAUGAUAUAUGUGAUGUAUGAGAUUGAUCAUGUUCUUGUAAUAGGAAUCACGACUUGCAUGUCGAUGAGUAUGACAACCGGCAGGAGCCAUAGGAGUUGUCUUAAUUUAUUUAUGACCCGCGUGUCAAUGAAAAUGCCAUGUAAUUACUUUACUUUAUUGCUAACCGUUAGCCAUAGUAGUAGAAGUAAUAGUUGGCGAGACAACUUCAUGAAGACACGAUGAUGGAAAUCAUGAUGAUGGAGAUCAUGGUGUCAUGCUGGUGACGAUGGUGUUCAUGCCGCGCCUCGAAGAUGGAGAUGAAAGGCGCAAGAUGAUAUUGGCUAUAUCAUGUCACUUUAUGAUUUGCAUGUGAUGUUUGUCAUGUUUUUACAUCUUAUUUGCUUAGAACGACGGUAGCAUAAAAAAGAUGAUCCCUCAUUAAAAUAUCAAGAAUUGUUGUAACACCUUCGAUGCGACUAUAUCUCCCACGUGUCGAGGCACAACUUAGAGGCAUAAUCGUAUUGAAGGCAUACGUCGCAAGUUAGACAAUCUUCACAACAUCCCAUGUAAUAUAAAUCAUAAAGGGGAGAUAACAUAGUUGGCUUACACUCGCCACAUCAAUCAAGUACAUAAAUAACAUUACAUCAACCAAACACUCAUGGCCCGACUACGGCGCCAAAAUAAAAGAGAACCCAACAUGCGACACAGUCCCAAUCACCCCCAAUUGGGCACCACUACUGAUCAUCAGGAAAGGAAACAUAGUAACGUUGAGAGUCCUCGUCGAACUCCCACUUGAGCUCAAGCGCGUCUCCUGAAGCGGAAUCAUCAGGCCCUGCAUCUGGUGUAAUAGUAAUCUAUGAGCCACAGGGACUCAGCAAUCUCGCACCCUCGCGAUCAAGACUAUUUAAGCUUAUAGGUAUGGCAAGGUAAAUAUGUGGAGCUGCAGCAAGCGACUAGCAAAAUAUGGUGGCUAACUUAUUCGCAAAAGAGAGAGAGAAGAGGAGGCCAAGCGCGAGCGAGAAACUAGAGAACAACCUGCGCAAACAUUACUCCAACACUGUGUCCACUUCCCGGACUCUACCGAGAAGAGGCCAUCACGGUAACACACUCAGUUGAUUCAUUUUAAUUAAGUUAAGGUUAAAGUGAUCUACAACCGGACAUUAACAAAUUCCCAUCUGCCCAUAACCGCGGGCACGGCUUUCGAAAGUUCAAAUCCCUGCAGGGGAGUCCCAACUUAGCCCAUGACAAGCUCUCACGGUCAACGAAGGAAUAGACCUCCUCCCAAGACGUUCCGAUCAGACUCGGUAUCUCGGUUCUUCAAGACAACUCCGGCAAUGGUAAAACAAGUCCAGCAAGACCGCCCGCUGUGCCGACAAAUCCCGAUAGGAACUGCACAUAUCUCGUUCUCAGGGCACACCGGAUAAGCUAAGCAUACGGGAACCAACGUAACCCAAGUUGCCAAGGGACGGCCCCGCACGGUGCUCUAGGUUGGACCAACACUCAAAGGAGCACUGGCCCGGGGGGUUUAAAAUAAGAUGACCCUUGAGUUCGUGAAACCCAAGGGAAAAGGCUAGGUGGCAAAUGGUAAAACCAAUGUUGGGCAUUGCUGGAGGAGUUUUAUUCAAGGCGGACUGUCAAGGGGUUCCCAUUAUAACCCAACCGCGUAAGGAACGCAAAAUCCGGGAACAUAACACCGAUAUGACGGAAACUAGGGCGGCAAGAGUGGAACAAAACACUAGGAGAGAGGCCGAGCCUUCCACUCUUUAUCAAGUAUAUAGAUGCAUUAAGAUAACAAGAUAAUAUAAUGAUAUCCCAACAAGUAAAUAAAUGUUUCAACAAGGAACGGCCUCCGAUCUUCACCUGCAACUAGCAACGCUAUAAGAGGGGCUGAGCAAAGCGGUAACAUAGCCAAUCAACGGUUUGCUAGGACAUGGUGGGUUAGAGGUUUGACAUGUUAAUUUGGGAGGCUUGAAAGCAAGUGGUAGGCAUCGUAGCAUUGGCAUAGCAAAAGAGCGAGCAAACUAGCAUAGCAAAGAUAGUAGUGAUUUCGAGGGUAUGAUCAUCUUGCCUGCACAGUUGUCAGAGUUGACUGGAUCCUCUAAAGCAAACUCAACGGGCUCCUCGUUAGCGAACUCGUCUCCCGGCUCUAGCCAAACAAGACAAACAAACAACAAGGGCACAAUCAACCACGUGCAAGGAUCAAACAAGAUGAUGCAAAGAUGAUAUGCUAUGCGGGAUGCAUAUGCAAGAUAUGACAGGAAAUGCAAGAACCUGGCCUCAACUUGAAAAUCCAAGUGUGCCACUGGAAAGAUGAGACGAAUUCGCUUGAAAACGAUUUAAAGAACGCCGGAAUCGGAGUUACGGUUUGGAAAUGGCAAGCGAUUCAAAUAUGACACCGGUCUGCGAUUUACAGCAAGUAGCCAUCUAAAUGCAAUGAGAUGAACAUGCUACAACACCCAAACAUGGCAAAAAAAUACAUGGCAGGGAUGCAUUCAAGAUGCUUAACAAAAGUCUAGCACUAAGCUACGGCCAAUUCAUCCAUUAACAGGUUCAAACAAGCAUGACAAAAAUGCAUAUGACAAACAGAUCUCAGACUUAGUGAAAUCAACACUUGUCUGGAAUUUCAGAUCAGAUAGCACUCUUCAGAGCAACAAAACUACAUGCUACAGGACCUGAACAUGGCAAAAUAAAGCAUGGCAUGAAGCUACUCAAAGGGCUUAACAAAAGUCCCUUAGUGACCUUGAGCCAAAAGGGAUCAGAAAAUACAAUUGCAAGCAUGUGAACAUAGCAAAAAUAUAAUCAGUUUUCAGACUUAGUGAAAACUGGAGCAUGCUGAAAACAGAUAUCAAGUAGGCAUGUUUAUGAGCUCGAUGCACUCAAUACAGAGCAAGUCAUGACAAACUAAGCCUACAUCCAUCAAGAAUACACAAAAUGCAAGCUAGACAUGGCAAGAACAAUAACAUAGCAUGCACGGAUCAACUACAACAUCAUCGGUAAAAUUGCAAACAAGUUGACAAUCUGCCCCGAUUCACAAAGUAGCAAAAGUAGAGCUCGAUUAACUCAAGCUAUGGUGCUCCAUAAUUGCAAACAAAGGCAUGGAUGGAUAGAGAACUACAAGAUUAACAAAACAUCCUUACUGGUCAUCCUCAAAAGAGGCAUGGAUCACUAGGAAACAACAUGAACAUAUGACAACAUGAGAUAAACAGAUCAAGGACUUAGUGGAAUUGCUAAGUCCCUGAAAUCAGAAUUAACAAGUGCACCACUUUGCAAGCUCGUGCUAGUCACCACACACAUCACAAAAAUACAUGGGUUGCACCUCUGGAAAUGUGACAAAACCCUUACCAAAACAUAUGUAGAGCAUCAGGGCAUAUCAUGCACACAUUGAUCAUGGCAAAAAUGACAAAUAUCUAAACGGAGUAGCAGAUCUGACAGUUAUCUCAAGUAGCCCUCUUCUAACAGAAUUUCGGGCAUCAAGAUGAACUCAAAUGAAAAUUAUGCAAUGGAAUGAAAUAAUGUACUCUCUGAGAUGAACAUUUUGAUAUGCUAUAUUCAUGAAUCGGAGUUACAGAUUCAAAGUUACGAGGCUAUGAAUAUUGCAAAAAAAAUAACUAGGACGGGCAAAAAGUCAACCGGCUAGGGUUUUCCAGAUCUGGAUCGGGCGGCACAGAAAACGAGGAUGGCCGGGGCACUGUUCACCGGCGCCGGAAUCGGUGGAGCUUGCCGGCGCGUCUUGGGAGAAGGAGGAGGCCGGAGCCGGGGAGGCGGCUACCGGAGCGGAUUCCGGCCGGCGCGGGUCGCCGGAGCGANNNNNNNNNNNNNNNNNNNNNNNNNNNNNNNNNNNNNNNNNNNNNNNNNNNNNNNNNNNNNNNNNNNNNNNNNNNNNNNNNNNNNNNNNNNNNNNNNNNNNNNNNNNNNNNNNNNNNNNNNNNNNNNNNNNNNNNNNNNNNNNNNNNNNNNNNNNNNNNNNNNNNNNNNNNNNNNNNNNNNNNNNNNNNNNNNNNNNNNNNNNNNNNNNNNNNNNNNNNNNNNNNNNNNNNNNNNNNNNNNNNNNNNNNNNNNNNNNNNNNNNNNNNNNNNNNNNNNNNNNNNNNNNNNNNNNNNNNNNNNNNNNNNNNNNNNNNNNNNNNNNNNNNNNNNNNNNNNNNNNNNNNNNNNNNNNNNNNNNNNNNNNNNNNNNNNNNNNNNNNNNNNNNNNNNNNNNNNNNNNNNNNNGGCGGCGGUUGGCGGCAGUGGGAUCCGGACGUUGUCCGGCUCCGUCCGGACACGUCCGGCGGCGGCGGAGACAGAUUUUUAGGGUUUCGGGGAGGGGGAUGCGAGAUUUUCGAGGAGGACCUAUUUAUAGGCCUAGAGGGAGCUAGGAAAGUCCAAAUGAGGUGCGGUUUUCAGCCACGCGAUCGUGAUCGAACGCUCUAGGUGAUGGAGAGGGUUAUGGUGGGUUUUGGGUCAAAUUGGAGGGGUGUUGGGCUGCAACACACACGAGGCCUUUUCGGUCCCUCGGUUAACCGUUGGAGUAUCAAACGAAGUCCAAAUGAUACGAAACUUGACAGGCGGUCUACCGGUAGUAAACCAAGGCCGCUUGGCAAGUCUCGGUACAAUCCGGAAAUGUUUAAUCCCCACACGCGAAAGAAAGGUAGAAUUGGCCACCGGAGGAGAAUGAAACGCCGAAAUGCAAAACGGACAACGGGGAAAAUGCUCGAAUGCAUGAGACAAGCACGUAUGCAAAUGCAAUGCACAUGAUGACAUGAUAUGAGAUGCAUGCCAACGACAACAACACAUGGAGACAAAGACCCGAACCCGAGAAAAUAAAAUAACUUAACGCCGGAAACGGCAAGAGUUGGAGUACAAAUUGGGAAAGUUAUAUCCGGGGUGUUACAAUUGUGUUCCUCCUAACUGUGCACUGUUGCUAAGGUCCGUUGUUUCGAAGCACCACGUGAUAAUUGGGUGUGAUAGGUUCUAACGUUUGCAUACAACGGGUGUAAGCCAGAUUUGCACACGCAAUACACUUAGGUUAACUUGACGAGUCUAGCAUGUACAGACAUGGCCUCGGAACACGGAAGACCGAAAGAUCGAACAUGAGUCGUAUAGUGGAUACGAUCAACAUGAAGAUGUUUACCGAUGAUGACUAGUCCGUCUCACAUGAUGAUCGGACACGGCCUAGUUGACUUGGAUCAUGUAUCACUUAGAAGACUAGAGGGAUGUCUAUCUAAGUGGGAGUUCAUUGAAUAAUUUGAUUAGAUGAACUUAAUUAUCAUGAACAUAGUCAAAAGGUCUUUGCAAAUUAUGUCGUAGCUCACGCUUUGGUUCUACUAUUUUAGAUAUGUUCCUAAAGAAAAUUUAGUUGAGAGUUGGCAGUAGCAAUUAUGCGGACUGUGUCCGUAAACUGAGGAUUGUCCUCAUUGCUGCAUACACUACUAGGAAAAGGGCUAUAGAUAGGAUUGCCACUAAUGGCGCACCAGGGAGGCAGUGCGCCACUACUAUAUACUAAUGACUCACCAGUUGGUGAUGCGCCAUUAGUGUGGAAGACACUAAUGGCGCACCAGAAAACAGAUGCGCCACUAGUGAUAAUUUUUUUUUCAUUUUUACAUACAUACUAAUGGCGCAUCCUACCGAAGUGCGCCAUUACUAGUUCUAACUAGUAAUGGCGCACCAGACAGGGAGUGCGCCAGUACUGAAUUUUUUUUAUUCUUUUUUUUUGCAAAACUACUAAUGGCGCACCGCCUCACAGUGCGCCAUUACUAGUUUAAAGUACUAAUGGCGCACCCUGUAGAACUGCACUAUUAGUAUAUAUUUUGAUAUCAUGAAUAUUUUUAAAUAUCAUGGGCACUUUUUGAUAUCAUGAAUAUUUUUAAAUUUCAUAGGCAUUUUUUGAAUUCAUGAGUAUUUUUUCAAAUUUGAUGAUAUUUUUUCAUAUUCAAUAUGAUAAAAUAUUGAAUAUUUGUGAGGACACUCGAUCUCGAUCCCCCUCCAUCUCGAUCUCGAUUCCCCCUCCAUCUCGAUCUCGAUCCCACCCGCGCCUCCUCUCCCCUCUUCAUUUUUUAAAAAAUAAUAAUAAAAAAGUGUAGACUACAAUUGUUGUUAAACAACAAUUAUUACUUUUUUUUAUAAAAAAAUAUUACUGUUUCAUAUUCAUAUUCAUUUUCUAAAAAAAUAUUACAUGCAAUAAAAAAAAUUACUUAUGGCGCACCUCUGGCUGGUGCGCCAUUGCUAUAUAUAAAAAAAGAUUACUAAUGGCGCACCUCUGCCUGGUGCGCCAUUGCUAUGUAAAAAAAGAUUACUAAUGGCGCACCUCUGCCCGGUGCGCCAUUGAUAUGUAAAAAAAGAUUACUAAUGGCGCACCGAUCGCUGGUGCGCCAUUAGUAAGAUUCCCCCUAGCUAAUUCCCUCCCUCUCGCCAGAUCCCCUUCAUCCCUCUCCCUCGCCCCCUAGCUAAUUCCCCCCGCUGCCCCNNNNNNNNNNNNNNNNNNNNNNNNNNNNNNNNNNNNNNNNNNNNNNNNNNNNNNNNNNNNNNNNNNNNNNNNNNNNNNNNNNNNNNNNNNNNNNNNNNNNNNNNNNNNNNNNNNNNNNNNNNNNNNNNNNNNNNNNNNNNNNNNNNNNNNNNNNNNNNNNNNNNNNNNNNNNNNNNNNNNNNNNNNNNNNNNNNNNNNNNNNNNNNNNNNNNNNNNNNNNNNNNNNNNNNNNNNNNNNNNNNNNNNNNNNNNNNNNNNNNNNNNNNNNNNNNNNNNNNNNNNNNNNNNNNNNNNNNNNNNNNNNNNNNNNNNNNNNNNNNNNNNNNNNNNNNNNNNNNNNNNNNNNNNNNNNNNNNNNNNNNNNNNNNNNNNNNNNNNNNNNNNNNNNNNNNNNNNNNNNNNNNNNNNNNNNNNNNNNNNNNNNNNNNNNNNNNNNNNNNNNNNNNNNNNNNNNNNNNNNNNNNNNNNNNNNNNNNNNNNNNNNNNNNNNNNNNNNNNNNNNNNNNNNNNNNNNNNNNNNNNNNNNNNNNNNNNNNNNNNNNNNNNNNNNNNNNNNNNNNNNNNNNNNNNNNNNNNNNNNNNNNNNNNNNNNNNNNNNNNNNNNNNNNNNNNNNNNNNNNNNNNNNNNNNNNNNNNNNNNNNNNNNNNNNNNNNNNNNAAAAAACAAAUUUGAUGAUAUUAAAAAAACAAAUUUGAUGAUAUAUUUUGUUCUAGUCCUCAUGAAAAUAACAAAUUUGAUAAAAAACAAAUUAUUAGAUGCAACAAGAAAUAAGGAAAAAAAGAAGUUACUAAUGGCGCACCAGAGGAGGGUGCUCCAUUGCUAUCAGAAAAAAAAAGUUACUAAUGGCGCACCAGAGAAUGCUGCGCCAUUGCUAUGAGUGUUUUUAUGGCGCACCCCUCGAUGGUGCGCCAUUACUAACAUUCCCCCCUCUAUAGCUGGAUACCCGGCCCUUCGCCCGAUACCUCCUUCCCUCUCCCUCGCCAGAUCCCCUUCCAUCCCUCGCCACACCCGCUCCGGCUCCCCCGCGCCGCCGCCCCCACUCCCCCGCGCCGCCGCCCCCGUGCCCCCGACCCAGGAAGCACGUGGCCGCCGGCCUCCCCACGACCAACCGAGGCGCCCAGGAGGUCCGCCGUCGUCUUCCUCUUCGACUACGAGGACCUGGACGAGCUCGGACGCCCUCGAGCCACCCCUUCGACGCCGCCGCCGACCCCGACCCCUCCGGCGACUGGCCACGCCCGCCCAGGUACCUCUCCUCCUUCCUCCCUCUCCACCCUUCCUCCCCAUUCCCUCCCUCCCUAGUUCUUCUUGCUAUAUGGAUCAGAACAUAUGGAUCAUUACUAUUGCUAUAUGGAGCAUUACUAUUGUUCUUCUCUGAACCAUUACCAUUCCCUCCCUCCCUAGUUCUUCCUCCCCAUUAAUUUGCAGGAUCAGAACAAGUUUGUAAUAGGAUGCUCUACAAUGUUGAUUAGGUGCAUUACUAUUGCUAUAUGGAGCAGCAAUUUACUAUUGCUAUAUGCUCUAGUUUGUAUCAAUGUGAUUGUAGUUUUUCUUGUCAUCAAGUUUAGUUGAUGUUUAUUUAAAUAUAGCUUAUAUGAUCAGCCAAUCUAUGUAUGAUUGUGGCUUGAAGGUUCUGGAAGAACGUUUUUCCUUCAAAUUCUAUCUGGUGGCAUUGUCCUAGACUCCCUAGUUGUGUUGUUAAUUGUGCUUCUAUUAAAAGAAUUGGGAGUUACUCACUGUACUAGAACUCUGUAGGUUGAAUUUUGGUUAACUAAUACCGAUGUUAUGAGAAUGUAAGCACCUAUUAUUGCUACUGAUAUCAUUGGCUCAUUGCUGCCUUUGUGCAAUGCAGAACUGUUAAGAGUGAUUUGGAGGAUUCAAGAUUCUGUGAAGCUCUUUUGACAUUUAAAACUCAGAACUGAAGGUACUUAAUAAACUCAAAAGCAUUGAUGAUAACUCUUGUUGCCUAGAAACAGAGGUAGUUUACACAUUGCAUUGCUGGUGUUUGUUUAUGUUCAGAGUUUAAGCAUGUGUAGUGUAGUGUAGUGUAGUGUAGUGAGCUUGUUCUAGUGUAGUGAGGUCUGAACCAUUGCACGAUGUAGUGUAGUGUAGUGAGCUCUGAACCAUGUUUAGUGUUGAGUACUUCAAGUUUACUGAACCUAUUCAUUUUUGUGGACUUAGUGAACAUGAUAAGACAAGCCAGAUGCUCUAUUUUUAAUUAAUAGUAAUCCAUGAUCAGCAACAGUUUCUUUCACUAAUUUUCAGUUAACAGCAAUCCAUGAUUUUUUUCAGCUAAAACUAUUCAUGAUUUUUUGUUGGGUGACCUAUUAGAUCUGGAAUGGAAGCUCACAUAAGUUGAGCUGAUUUUUGUCCAUAUGAAAGCAGAGGACCAUAUGGUAUGUGGCCUUUUCAUCCAUAUGAAAGUAGAGGCACAUUGUGGUGCUAGUUUGCUGGGUUUUGUCUCCGACCAUCGUGUCGUGAUGAUUUUGCAGGUACCCCCAGAGGCCCUUGAGUUUGCCGGAUUGUCGAUUAACUUUCGUUCCGGAAAAUUCGGGUACUCCAUAUGUCUUAUUUUCAGCAAAGGUCAUGCUGAGAUUUUCCGUGAAUUUUAGCAUGACUUUGCUAAAAAUCGGACAUAUGGGGUACUUGCUACUAAUACAUGGGCCGAGGUAUCUUAGUACUUAAUUAAGUAGGAUCAACUGCCCCGCUAUUCUUGCUGCAUUAAACCAUAGGUGGCAAUAGAGCCAAGUGAUUAGGCCCAACUUAGAAUUCUCGUUAGCAUCGAUAAACCCUAGAUGAUAAACCCAACAUAGGUGGCAAUAGAGCCAAGUGAUUAGUGCCAAGUGAUUAGGCCCAACCUAGGGUGCCUCGACAUCGAUAAACCCUAAAUGAUGAAAACUUAACUUGGCUUCUAUAGGGUGCCUCGGUGUCGAUGAGAACCUAAAUGAUGUACGCUUAGGCUUUUAGGGUGCCUCGGCAUCGACAAAACCUAAAUGAUGAAAGCUUAGGCUUUUAGGGUGCCUCGACGUCGACAAACCCUAAAUGAUAAAACAUUGGCUUUUAGGGUGCCUCGGUGUCGAUAAGAACCUAAAUGAUGAAAGCUUAGGCUUUUAGGGUGCCUCGGCGUCGACAAACCCUAAAUGAUAAAAGCUUAGCUUUUAGGAUGCCUCGGUGUCGACAAACCCUAAAUGAUGUAGUUUUGAAUUAUGAACGUAGGAUAUGUCAUCAUCAUCAUCGGACGACGAAAGUCUCCCGGCGGAGUGCGACUGGUGCCACGACGAUCGAGGUCUGUGCGACAUGCCUCACCUGGACGAUGAUCGGCGCUUUAGCACUAAGCUCGAGGAGACCUUCGAUGUUGAAACGGUACACAACAACGACAAGUGUUAUUUUCAUAAUUAAGCAUGACUUCAACUAUUUCAACGUGUAAUUUUCAUCUUUUACAAUUCGAGUAUAGCUUAUCCCAUGCCAUGCAAGACGCUAUGUCUUGGAGAGGAUGGAUUUUGAAGACCAUGAAAUUUCUGAAACAAAGAAAAUUCACCUAAGGACUCAUCACGAUGUGGACUUUGAAGUAAAUCUAUAUAAUUCUGAGAGCGUAACCCAUUUUGGUUGCAAAAAUUGGGAAGCAUUUUGCAAGAUGUAUGGUUUUGAUGAGGGUAUGCUUAUCACCAUGGAUAUUGGUAAUCCUGACAUCAACCAAGACAAUAUGGACAUUUGGGUCCUUGUUGAUACGCCUCCAGUUCUACCGCUAUGUGAGUUUCUCAAACAUAGUUAUUAGCUAAUUUAUAUUGUUUAUUUCAAAAUAGUUGACAGCUUAUUUUUAUUGUUCAAAGAAUGUGCGGGAGAUGGUAGACAAAACCCACUACACCGAUGGCUCCGAAUUAACAACUUACAAGGAGAAAAAUCAUCUGGUCGGAUUUUGUACUGACAUUGAGAAUUACACUAUCCACAAUCAAACUCCUCAGCAUUAUGGUAAAUACGUGCCACUAGUGCAUGUGUUCAACUACGGUAACUACCAUGGAGAUACCCUGGUAAGAUUUUUACUAUUACGAUAUCCGUGCAUCUUUUGCAUACUUCUAAAACUAGUACAUCAUUGCUAACUAUGAAGUUAUUACUAUGUUUUUCAACAGAUAAUCCUAGAGAAUUGUGUGCCUCAUAUGAUGUAUCUGAAAGGUAGUGUUAAUGUUUUGAACAUACAGCCAGGUCGUCCUACGAAUCUCAACUGUCCAUACGAGAUUUCUAAAAGAAGUGGAGACAUGAAAAUCAAAGGAUGGAAAAAAUGUAUGGACAGUCGUAAGGAGCUUCUUGGAAGCAAAAGGAAGCGAAGCGCAAGAAUUGGAGACAGGAUGUUCUCCAUUCUCCAUAAUGGAGAGUCAGGGUCUAUAUUGUUUUAUGCUAUUUUAGCUUAAAUAGGGUAUUUAGGUCCUGCCUAAUACUGAUGAUCAUGUGCUAAGAACAAUUAAGUAGGGUUGGUUCGAUGACUAUCAAGAUGAUGAUCGUAUGAUUUGUUAUGAAUAACGAGUAGAAGUUGUAUGAUGAUGAUUAGUAGGACUUGUUAGGAUUAUUAUUACUUCCGACAAACUCGAUACUCGCGGUCUCGAGACUUGUAAUGUUUUAUCUUUGUUCGGUCUUUUGAAUUUGGAGACUAAUAUGAUGAAUUGUAUUCGGAGACUAAUCUUCUAUUGUAUUCGAUGAAUCUGCUGUUGCUGUGUGCUACUGUCUAUAUUCUGUCAAAUAAUAUAUUUUGUAACAUGUGCAAAAAUUAGAAAAGUAAAAAAAACCUAAUAUUCAUACUAAUGGCGCAUCACUACAGAGUGCGCCAUUAGAAUGCCAAGUAUACUAAUGGCGCAUCCAUCCGCAGUGCACCAUUAGUGUGCCAAAGCACAUGGUUAAAUAUGGCCCCUGGGAGGCACACUAAUGGCACAUGGUGUUAUAUACUAAUGGCGCACUGGAUGGUGCGCCAUUAGUAUACCAGAUACUAAUGGCGCACCAGUGGUGCGCCAUUAGUAAAAAUUACUAGUGGCGUGCUACUAAUGGCGCACCAGUGAUGCGCCAUUAGUAGGCAAAACUGGUGCGCCAUUAGUAGGCCUUUUCCUAAUAGUGACAGAAGGAUUAUAUCCUUAAUGCACCGGUCAGUGUGCUGAACCUCGAACGUCGCGUGUAGAUGUUGGGAAACAUCUGACAUACACGUUUUGAUGACUACGUGAUAGUUCAGUGCGUAAUGCUAAUGGUUUAGAAUUGAGGCACCAAAGACGUUUUUGAAACAUCGCAGAACAUAUGAGAUGUUCCAAAGAUUGAAAUUGGGAUUUCAGACUAGUGCUGACGUCAAGAGGUAUGAGACCUCUGACAAGUUUCUUAGGCCUGCAAACUAAGGGAGAAAAGCUCAAUCAUUGAGCAUGUGCUCAGAUUGUCUGAGUACUACAAUCACUUGAAUCGGGUGGGAGUUAAUCUUCCAGAUGAUAUAGUGAUGGUUCUCCAUAGUCACUGCCACCAAGCUAUUAGAGCUUCGUGAUGAACUAUAACAUAUCAUGGAUAGACAUGAUGAUCCUUGAGAAAUUCGCGAUGUUUGACACCGCGAAAGUAGAAAUCAAGUAGGAGCAUCAAUUGUUGAUGGUUAGUAAAACCACUAGUUUCAAGAAGGGCAAGGGAAAGAAGGGAUACUUCCUGAAACGGCAAAUCAGUUGCUGCUCUAGUGAAGAAACCCGGGGUUGAACCCAAACUUGAGACUAAGUGCUUCUGUAAUGAGGGGAACAGUCACUGAAGCAGAACCACCCUAGAUACUUGGUAGAUGAGAAGGAUGGCAAGGUCGACAGAAGUAUUUUGGAUAUACGUUAUAUUAAUGUGUAGUUUACUAGUACUCCUAGUAGCACUAGGGUAAUAAAUACCGGUUCGAUUGCUAAGUGUUAGUAACUCAAAAUAAAAUGCUACGGAGACUAGCUAAAGGUGAGAUGACGAUAUGUUGGAAGUGUUUCCAAGGUUGAUGUGAUCAAACAUCGCACGCUCCCUCUACCAUCGAGAUUGGUGUUAAACCUAAAUAAUUGUUAUUUGGAGUUUGUGUUGAGCAUAGACAUGAUUGGAUUAUGUUUAUCGCAAUACGGUUAUUCAUUUAAAGAGAAUAAUGGUUACUCUGUUUAUUUGAAUAAUACCUUCAAUGAUCUUGCACCUAAAAUGAAUGGUUUAUUGAAUCUCGAUCAUAGUGAUACACAUGUUCAUGCCAAAAGAUAUAAGAUAGUAAUGAUAGUACCACAUACUUGUGGCACUUCCAUUUGAGUCAUAUUGGUAUAGAACGCAUGAAGAAGCUCCAUGUUGAUGGAUCUUUGGACUCACUCGUUUUUGAAACGAUUGAGACAUGCGAACUAUGUCUAUUGGUAUAUAUGCAUGAAGAAAGUCCAUACAGAUGGAUCGUUUGGACUCACUUGAUUUUGAAUCACUUGAGACAUGCAUAUCAUACCACGUGGGCAAAAGAUGACUGAAAGGCCUCGUUUCGGUAAGAUGGAACAAGAAAGCAACUUGUUGGAAGUAAUACAUUUUGAUGUGUGCAGUCCAAUGAGUGAUGAGGCACGUAGUGGAUAUCGUUAUGUUCUUACUUCACAGAUAAUUUGAGUAGAUGCUGAGUGUAUUUACUUGACGAAACACAAGUCUGAAUUAUUGAAAGGUUCAAGUAAUUUCAGAGUGAAGUUGAAGAUCGUCGUGACAAGAGGAUAAAAGUCUAUGAUAUGAUCAUAGAGAUGAAUAUCUGAGUUACGAGUUUGGCACACAAUUAAGACAUUGUGGAAAUUGUUUCACAAAUAAUACCGCCUGGAACACCAUAGUGUGAUGGUGUGUCCGAACAUCAUAAUUGCACCCUAUUGGAUAUGGUGCAUACCGUGAUGUCUCUUAUUGAAUUACCACUAUCGUUUAUGGGUUAGGCAUUAGAGACAACCGCAUUCACUUUAAAUAGGGCACCACACAAUUCCGUUGAGACGACACCGUAUGAACUAUGGUUUAGCAAAACCUAAGUUGUCGUUUCUUAAAAGUUUGGGGUUGCGAUGCUUAUGUGAAAAAGUUUCAGGCUGAUAAGCUCGAACCCAAAGCGGAAAAAUGCAUCUUCAUAGAAUACCUAAAACAGUUGGGUAUACCUCCUAUUUCAGAUCCGGAAGCAAAAGUAAUUGUUUCUAGAAACGGGUCCUUUCUCGAGGAAAAGUUUCUCUCGAAAAAAUUGAGUGGGAGGAUGGUGGAGACUUGAUGAGGUUAUUGGGCACAGGAAGUUGUUCCUGUGGCACCUACACCAAUUGAAGUGGAAGCUUAUGAUAGUGAUCAUGAAACUUCGGAUCAAGUCACUACCAAACCUCAUAGGUCGACAAGGAUGCGUACUACUUCAGAGUGGUACGUAAUCCUGUCCUGGAAGUCAUGUUGCUAGACAACAAUGAACCUACGAGCUACGGAGAAGCGUGUCACAUCCUAGUUAGCCAUGCAUUAGAGUGUUGCAUCAUGUUUACUCUUUCAUCAGAAACUUGAAAUGGGGAUCUGUGAAACCCUCAGAAUCAUUUUGAAAAUGACCCAAAUAAAAAUUUCUCCAAAAGGGUCCAAGAAAAUGCUCAUGUUGCUCUCUGAAAAUAUUGGACAGAGAUAAAAAUCAAACCAAUAUUUUUAGUGGCUCAUGGACAUUUAUUUUGGGCAUUUGGAAUUAAUGCAUAAAUAUUUGCAUUGGAAAUAUAUUAAUUAUAUAUAUUAAUAUAUGCCCAAAUAUUAUGCCAUUUAUAAAAGAGCUCUGGAAUAAUAUAUAUAGCUCCUGCAAAAAUUGGCAUAAGUUAAAUAAAUGAUUUAAUAUAUUUUUUAAAUCAAAACAAAUGUCAGAAAUUAGAAAACAGAAAAAUAUAUAACAGGAGGAGCUUACCUGGGCUCCUCCACUGUGCGGCCCAGCCAGCUGGCCGGCCCAGCCAGCAGCCGGCCCAGCCCAUCUCCCUCCUCUGUCGUCUUCGUCCCGACAGAGGGAGGGGAGUGUGGCCGGCGCGCGCGCGCCACCGCGCCACGCCACCUCUCUCCCUGCCUGCCUGCCCUCCCUCUCCUCGCCUCGAUGCCCUGGACGACGCCACGCCUCCCCCCCUGCUCUCUCUCACUCUCCCCCGGCUCUUCCUUCCUCUCCCUCGCUCUCUCUCUCACACGGCCGAACACCACCGUCGCCGCCGUUCGCCAUAGCAGCCAUCUCCGGCCACCCCUCGCUCCCCCGACUAGCUCAGAAGCUCCGCCACGACCCCCUCUUCCUCCCCACCGCUCCACAGCUCCCCGGAAGCCCUGCAUCGCCGCCACGUCGCCGUUCCCCUCUUCGGGCUCCGACCAUCGUCGCCGUCGAAUUCGUCGUCUCCAGCGCGUCCCCGAGCCCGCUAACCAUCCCUGCAGCUCCGCGGUGAGCCCCCGGAUCGUUUCCCCCUUCUCCCCUGGUCUCUUUCGACCUCUAGGCCCUAGCCCCACCUUGGCCGAGAGCUCCACGCCGCCGGCGAUGUCGCCGUCGUGGCCACGGUCACCGUAGCACCCAACCGAGCGCACUAUCGUGCUCCCCACCUCACCAGGAGCACGCAGCACGCACUAACGCCGCCCCAAACCCCCUGCAACGUCGAUUCCGACCGCACCCGAACUCCGGCAGCCGCAGCCGAGCUCGCCGCCGUCGACUCCGGCCACCCCAGGGCCAGCCACGGCCACCGUCCGACGCGCCGUCGAGCUAGCUAUCCAACGCACCUAGCCGCACGCCGUUUGGAGCACCACAGAGGAAACCCGAGGCCCCUGCACGCCGCGGACCUCGCCGGCGACUAACCGCCGGCGGGUUUGACCUGUCCGACCUGAGGUUUGACCCCCCCAGGGUCACUGACGCGUGGGCCCUGUCGGACAGGUGGUUAGUUAGUACUAAUUACCGUUAGUCAACCCCCCCUGACACUGACAGUGGGCCCCAGCGCCACUAAUCCCUAAUUAGGAUUAAUUUAAACCUGUUAAACCCCCCUGUCACUGACGUGUGGCCCCCACACGUCAGGUUUGACUUCAGCCAGCCGCAGUUGACCACUGACGUCAUGCUGGCGCAAUAAUUAUAAUUUCUGGAUUUAAUUUAAAUCAGGAAAUUCCAGAAUAUUAUUUAAACUUCAAAAAUUCAUAACUUUUAUUCUGUAACUCCAAAUUGGACAAAUUAUAUAUGAAAAAUGAUCAGAAAAAUCCAAUCUAUCCAUCUGUACUAUUUUCAUGCAUGAUCAAACAAGUUAAAUUGAUAUUUUAAGCAGAACAAGGAAAAGCACUUUAAAAGGCCAUGUUUGAGUUUGAAAUUUGAAUCUUUGAUUCAAAUUUGUUCAAACCCUUCUGGUUUUAGUUGCAUUAGCCCAACACACUCAUAUUGCUAUGUUUCAUGCAUGCAUCAUAUUGUUGCACAUUGUUUGGUGAUGGUUGUGUAUCGGUGUCCUUUGCGACAGGUUCUGCCUCCGAAGAGUACCGUGAUUACCCUAACGAAGAACCGUAUCAGUGCAUCGAACCAUCAGGCAAGCAACCAACCAUUUGAUCAUAUCGAUACAAUCCCAUGUUCUCGCUCCUGCUCUCUUUUACUGCAUUAAGACAACGCGUUUCAAACUGCUGUGUGCUACGGUAGUUGAACCCAUUUCCUCUGCAUGACCUGUCAUUGCCACAGUAACUAGAUGAAACCCACUAGCAUGUGUAGGAGUUGAUUGAGCCAUAUGUAUGUGUUGUUCCUACCUUGCUAUGCCUGCUAUGCUUAGAGUCGUGUCAGGUCUGGUUCAUCUGGGUGAUGGGCUAGAGUGAAAUGGUUAUGUCGGUAAUGAGAGUGGUGUGGUGAACACGUUUUGGUAAAGGUAUCGAUGAGAGGCCAUGUAGGAGUACAUGGUGGGUUGUUUCAUUGAAGCCGACCUUAAGCACUAAGAUCUGUAUGUGUGAUUUAAGAAUCAGCUACUACCAUGCAUUGGGCCCGAAACCAAUGGACCCUCUCGGCUUCUUAUUCACCCUAGUUCUCCAUCCAGGAGUUGCAAGUAGUUUCUGGUGUUUGUAGCCUACUGGAGGCCGUGGACAGCGCUGACCGUAGGGGUGGGCUGUGAUGCGGUAGGUACGUGGCACGGUGUACCGAAUACCCGUUAGGUAUCUCGGGAACCCUGUUCACAUCGUUCGGGGCCGUAUGGGAAACCUCGGCCGGACUCCCUGCGGAUGGAACCUGGAUAGGCGAUAAACCUGGACUGGAGGCUUAGGUGAUUAGGUAGGUCGUGGCCGACACCCACGUUGGGCUUCCGCUUGAAGGUUGCCGAGUACAUGUCGUGUGAACGACGGUAAGUGGUGAGAGCGUGUAUGAAGAAGUACACCCCUGCAGGGUUAACAUGAUCUAUUCGAAUAGCCGCGUCCGCGGUAAAGGACUACUUGGUUGCCUAUACAGUUCAUAGACAAGUAAAUGGAAACUACUAAAAGUCUCAAGAUAAGUGUGAGUGCCGAGGAUGGCUCUUCCGUAGGAAGACGGAGGUGGAUCCUCGGUAGUGUAUUGAAGUGGUGAGUAGUGGACUCGUGUGCGCAAAACCAUUUCAAGUUGGAGUAUCGUAGGAUAGCCUAGCCAAGAGUCAAAGCUGGCUUGCUGCAAUAACUCCACCAACCCUUCUUGAUACUAUGCAUGUAUGUAGGAUCUGAUGUAAGUCUUGCUGAGUACCUUUGUACUCAUGUUGCUAUAAUCUACAUUUUUACAGAAGACGCUGCAACCCCUUCUGAUGGGUUCUAUGUAGACGUUGACAUCAACGAGUAGGCUAAAGACCCAGGUGGUGACCCUAAGCUUGUGGAGGACCACGUAGUAUAGUUAGGCUUUCCAAGCCUCUUUUAUUUUACUAGUUGUCUGUACUCAGACAAGUUACUUCCGCUGUUGGCUUGUAUGACUGUAUGACUUGUAUGUUGGGUCGUGAGACCCGUACCUUUGUGUAUGUUAUGUAUGGCUCCCUGAGCCUUAAAUAAAGUACUUGUGUCAUAGAGUCAUGUUGUGAUGCUUCGUUGUAUUUGCACAUAUCGAGCAUAUUGUGUGUAUGAUUGAAAUGCUUGGUAUGUGUGGGAUCUGACUAUCUAGUUGUUUAUCUUUAGUAGCCUCUCUUACCGGGAAAUGUCUCCUAGUGUUACCGCUGAGCCAUGGUAGCUUGCUACUGCUCUGGAACACUUAGGCUGGCCGGCAUGUGUCCUUCUUCGUUCCUGUGUCUGUCCCUUCGGGGAAAUGUCACGCUUCGAGUACCGGAGUCCUGUUAGCCCGCUACAGCCCGGUUUACCGGAGUCCUGCUAGCCCAGUGCUACAGCCCGGACCCACUUGCUGAUGACCGACACGUUCGAAGCUGGGUCAUGGAUGCCUGUCCCUGUAAGUCUGUGCCACUUUGGGUUUACGACUAGUCAUGUCAGCCCGGGCUCUUUAUCAUAUGGAUGCUAGCGACACUAUCAUAUACGUGAGCCAAAAGGCGCAAACGGUCCCGGGAAAAAGGUAAGACAACACCCGUGGGGAUACCGUGCGUGAGGCCGCAAAGUGAUAUGAGGUGUUACCAGCUAGAUCGAUGUGACAUCGAGUCGGGGUCCUGACAGCGUUGGCAUCAGAGCCGGACUGCCUGUAGGUUCUCCAAGCCAAACUGGUCGAUGUUGAGUCUAGAAAUUCUUUAGUUAUAUGUAGGGGAAUUGUUUGUGGGUUGGAACGUAAGGCUCUUUUUAUUCCUUAUACCUUAUGACUUUCUGAUCUGAGUCAGUCCAUUCUUCCACCGGGGUUAAGGAAUUAGGAUCUGUUCUCUCUAUCAGGAUCACGAGUUACUAAUCAGUAGUACCUUAUAAGUUUGAGGGAUACAAGCCUAGUUCAGUUCUACUACCACCUUAUGUUGUUAGAAUGGUUUCAGAACUUUGAUAUGAUGAUGUUGAGUAUGUACGAAAUCCUUUGUCAAAUGUCUCAAAUCCUUUUGAGCAUUUACAGCUGUUAUGCUGCCGAAAUUUUGCUAGAAGUUCUAAUGCCUUUGCAUUAUGAUUGUGCUUCCAGAUGGCCACUCGCGACCUCAAUCAAGUGGUUCGCCUGACUCGAUGCCUAGAUGUACCCGGCCAUACUGCUAAGUUGGUCAGGGUAAUGACUGAGGCUGGAUACCGCUGGUAUCCCGAGUACACGGUCGAAGAGCAAUUCCGGGACUUCAAUCAAAGCCAGUAUCUCUGCACUGUCAGGAUAUUUCCAUCUUAUCCUGGAUCCACCGAGCCUCUUCACUGCUCCUAUGGACUCGGGGUUACUAUUGAGAUGGCUGUGCAGGACGCCGCCUACUCUAUGAUGACCAUUACGCGAGUCAGAUCUGGUUUAUUUCGGGACUCUGAUUUCCGGUAUAUGCCAGGAUCACUUCCGGGAGCACAAGGGUAUCUCCAGGCUAUCUAUGCUGACCCCACUCAGGAGGAUUCACGGACUCGCACCACUGCUGAGAUGCUCGAGGAUAAGGACCGUGAAAAUCGGGCCUUAAGGUUAGAGCUCUUCAAUACCCGUGCUGACCACUGGGCUACUUUGACUCGGUUCGCACCGGCGGUGCAAGCUGGAUAUUCAGAUAUGCGCGAUCUCUAUCCUGUGAGAUCUGCUCUGCCGGACGUGAUGGUUUGGCGUGAUGUAGGAGGCAUCACCCCACCUCGCGGUCCCCGCAGGCCACCGUCUGUUGGUCCAAGGCCUCAUCCUAGCCCCUAUGGUCCACAAGCUCCGCGAGACCGUCUGUUUCCGGAUGAUCAUGUUGAACCUCCAGGCUAUGGAGGCAACUUCUACGAGGACUACUACGGAUCGGUCUGAGCUAGUGGUAGUAUCACUAGUUCGCACUAGCUGUGUCUUCUAUCGUCCCGCGUGACUCGUGGGAUAUGACCUAGUUUGUACUCCUUCCGGAGGGGUAGAAAAAUAAUGUAUAGGAGCUUGGAAUGCCUCCGAUGAGAUGUAAUCCUCUUUUCACCGUAAUAGUACUUUGUUUGGUCUUGUACUAAACCCUGUAUGGUGUGUAUGACGAUGGAAUAAAAGAAGCAGUUUCUGUAUCUACCAUGUCAUACGGAUGAUCAUCUUGCAUUCCGAGUUAUUCCUUACAUUUUGUAUCCCAUGUUGGAAUUUUAUCAUCCUGACUAAAUCAUUGUCUUGUUUACCUAGGAUGGUCAACACGCGCGCUAACCCUGCUUCUCAAGAGCAGGCCGAAGGCAGUGAAGUCAGGGAUGCAAAUCUGCCUCAUCCUCCUUCACUAGCCGAGGUUAUGAUGGAAGCUGAGAGAAACAAGCGGGAGACCAACCGUUUGUUGGAGCGUAUUGAACAGAAUACAGCACACCAUCAGAGGGCUAACGUGGUGUCACUCAGUGAUUUUAUCAAAUUGCAUCCACCCACGUUCCACCACUCCGUCGAGCCUCUCGACGCUGAUGACUCGCUUCGCAGUAUCUCUCACAAACUGCGUUCCGCGCUGGUAGCGGAGGCUGACAAGGUCACCUUGCUGCAUAUCAUCUUGAAGGCCCCGCCAGUCUAUGGUGGGAGAAUUAUGGAGCUAUGCGCCCAGCGGGCCAUGUCACUACUUGGGCUGAGUUCAGCGAGGCUUUCUGUGAACAUCACAUUCCGGAGGGUCUCAUGGACCGUAAACGUGAAGAAUUUUGCAGUUUCACCCAAGGCCGACUUUCUGUGGAUGCCUAUAGCAGGGAGUUUGGUAAUCUCGCCCGACAUGCAACUGAGGAAGUGUCUACUGACGCCAAGAAGCAAGCAAGGUUCCGUAAGGGCCUUAGUCCUGAGCUUCGCCGCGACCUCCGUCUGCAUGAGUGCACAUCUUUUCAGAAACUUGUCAACAAAGCCAUCAGUGCUGAAACUGGUCAGACUGACUAUGACGCAACACGCAAGCAUGGCCGUGACAUGGGUUCCUCAUCCGGUGCUGGUCCUCAGAAGCGCCGCGUGUGGGUGCCCAACACCGCCCUGCCACCCAGAUUCACACCGAGGCCAUCUUUCUAGGCGCCUCGCCCUAUUCAACAGUCUGCACCGACCAAGCCCUAUGGGGGUCCAACCAAUAAUGCUCCUCCACGUACCAGUUCCGUGACUUGUUUCAAGUGUGGGGAGUCUGGCCACUAUAUGCGUGAGUGUCCCCAGACCAACCCCAAUCAAUCUGCUAAAGCUGUUGGCUGUGGCAAGCCGACAGGGAAAAUAUUCCACGCCAAGCCGGUCACCGCUUCACGUGGCCAUGUUAACUGUAUCUCUGCCAAAGAAGCUCAAGAGGAUCCCAACGUCGUUCUCGGUACGCUUCUUGUUAAUUGCCACCCGGCAUCUGUUCUUUUCGAUACAGGAGCCUCUCAUUCUUUUAUAUCUGAAAACUAUGCUCGCUUGCAUAACGUCGCAUUCGGUGAUAUGCCAACCUCUAUGGUAAUUCAAACUCCGGGAUCCAAAUGGCAAACUUCUAGAGUAAGCCAUGGAAAUGAAAUCCAAGUCGACAGACUUGUUUUUCUCGCAUCUUUGAUAGCCCUUAAAUCUUCAGAUAUUAAUAUCAUUCUGGGUAUGGACUGGAUGUCAGCUCAUCAUGCCAAAUUGAUUGCUUCUCUAGGACUGUUCAACUCACCCAUCCUUCGGGGAAGAUAGUCAAUGUCUUGACCCGAAUAGCCAAGCGACAAUUAUAUUCUCUUAACGCCAGCCCUUUGCCAGACCUUGAGGACGUGCCGGUAGUCCGUGACUUCCCGGAUGUCUUUCCAGAGGAAUUGCCAGGUGUUCCACCUGACAGGGAUGUUGAGUUCGUAAUCGACCUCAUCCCCGGAACCGUUCCGAUUGCUAGAAGACCUUAUAAGAUGGCACCACUAGAACUAGCCGAGCUUAAGAAACAACUCGAUGAAUCCUUGAAAAAGGGUUUCAUCCGACCUAGCUCAUCUCCGUGGGCUUGCCCCGUCCUAUUCGUCAAGAAGAAGGAUGGUACGGACCGGAUGGUUGUAGAUUACCGACCUGUCAAUUUGGUCACAAUCAAGAACAAAUAUCCACUUCCCAGGAUCAACGACCUGUACGAUCAGCUUGCUGGAUCCUCAGUCUUCUCCAAGAUGGAUUUGAGGUUGGGCUACCAUCAAAUAAAAAUCAGAAACGGGGACAUUCCUAAAACGGCCUUUGUUACUCGUUAUGGCCAAUACGAGUACACCGUCAUGUCCUUCGGUUUAACCAACGCUCCAGCCACCUUUUCUCGGUUAAUGAACUCAAUCUUCAUGGAGUAUUUGGAUAAAUUCGUCGUAGUUUAUCUCGAUGAUAUACUCAUCUACUCCAAGAACGAGGAAGAACAUGCCGAACAUUUAAGGCUAGUGUUGAAGAAACUUCGAGAGCAUCGCCUUUAUGCCAAAUUUUCGAAAUGUGAAUUCUGGUUGUCAGAAGUGACCUAUCUGGGUCAUGUAAUAUCUGGUAAAGGUAUUGCUGUUAACCCUGAGCGAGUUCAAGCCGUCCUUAAUUGGACUCCAUCUGAAUCGGUCAAGCAAGUUCGGAGUUUUCUGGGCUUAGCGAGCUAUUGCCGUCGCUUUGUCGAGAACUUCUCCAAGGUUGCUAAACCUCUAACCGAACUCCUCAAGAAAGAUAAAAAGUUCGAAUGGACUCCACAAUGUGAGCACAGCUUUCAGGAACUGAAAAGACGCCUGACCUCUGCUCCCGUACUGGUACCGCCAGACUUCUCCAAGGACUUUGUUAUCUACUGCGACGCCUCGCGACAAGGACUAGGUUGCAUUCUUAUGCAAGAUCGACACGUAAUUGCUUACGCUUCACGGCAAUUGCACCCACAUGAGGAGAAUUAUCCUACUCAUGAUCUAGAGCUUGCAGCCGUAGUCUAUGCACUUAAGACCUAGCGACAUUACCUCCUCGGUAAUCGUUGCGAAAUAUUCACUGAUCACCAAAGUCUGAAGUACAUUUUCACCCAACCGGAUUUGAAUCUCAGGCAGAGACGUUGGGUUGAAUUGAUCACAGACUUCGACUUAGGAAUAACCUACACCCCAGGGAAAGCCAACGUCAUGGCUGAUGCGCUAAGUCGUAAAUCUUAUUGUAACAACCUGAUGUUACAACAAAGUCAACCGCUUCUCCAUGAGGAACUUCGGAAGCUUAACCUUCACAUUGUACCUCAAGGUUUUCUUUCCACCUUGGUGGCAAAACCUACCCUUACGGAUCAAAUUAUCAAAGCACAGAAGGUAGAUCCGGGAAUCUCCCGCAUCAAGAGGAACAUUCAGAAAGGUAUUGCGAAUUGUUUCUCCAUUAAUGAUCAAGGAGUCGUAUACUUCGGGAAUCGACUAGUGGUUCCCAAAGUGCGCAACCUAAGGCGAUUAAUCCUUAAGGAAGCUCAUGAAUCUCCUCUCACCAUUCAUCCCGGUAGCACUAAAAUGUAUCAGGACCUACGCCAGAGGUUCUGGUGGACUAGGAUGAAGAGAGAAAUUGCUCAGUAUAUUGCUAACUGCGACGUCUGUCGUCGUGUAAAAGCAGAGCACCAACGGCCUGCUGGCACCCUUCAACCCUUAGCUAUUCCUGAAUGGAAAUGGGAUAAAAUUGGUAUGGAUUUCAUUACCGGUUUUCCCAGGACCAAGAGAGGGAAUAAUGCUAUUUUCGUCGUGGUCGAUCGUCUUUCCAAAGUAGCCCAUUUCUUACCUGUUCGUGAGAGUAUAACCGCUAGUCAGCUGGCAGAUUUGUACAUCUCCCGAAUAGUGUCUCUCCAUGGUGUUCCUUUGGAAAUUAACUCGGAUCGAGGAAGUCUUUUCACCUCUCGAUUUUGGGAAAGCUUCCAAAAUGCUAUGGGAACCCGUCUCUCUUUUAGCACCGCCUUCCACCCUCAGUCAAGUGGUCAAGUGGAACGCGUCAACCAAAUUCUAGAAGACAUGCUUCGAGCCUCUGUUAUCUCAUUCGGAAUGGACUGGGAGAAGUGCCUUCCAUUUGCCGAAUUCGCUUACAACAACAGCUAUCAAUCUAGCUUGGGUAAAGCCCCUUUUGAAGUUCUCUAUGGACGACGAUGUCGAACACCCCUUAACUGGUCAGAGACCGGGGAAAGACAAUUCUUUGGCCCGGAUAUGAUUCAGGAAGCAGAAGAACAAGUUCGUGUCGUUCGUGAAAAGUUGAAAACAGCCCAAUCUCGUCAAAAGAGUCAAUAUGACCGAAAACAUAAGGCUAUGACUUUCGAGGUUGACGAGAAGGCUUAUCUUCGGGUCACCCCUCUGAAGGGAACCCAUCGUUUCGGUAUCAAAGGCAAAUUGGCUCCUCGUUACAUUGGACCUUUUCGCAUUCUUGCCAAACGAGGAGAAGUUGCCUACCAGUUGGAACUACCUCCGCACCUCUCCAGAGUUCACGAUGUCUUCCACGUUUCUCAACUCAGGCGUUGCUUCUCGGAUCCUAUCCGUGGAGUGGACCACGAAACGCUUGAUCUCCAAGAUGAUCUUACAUAUCGAGAGUACCCCAUUCGUAUCCUCGAUCAAGCCGAACGCACCACGUGACGUCAUAAUAUCAAGUUUCUCAAGGUUCAAUGGUCGCACCAUUCUGAGGAUGAAGCAACUUGGGAAAGGGAGGAUCGUCUUCGACUCGAAUAUCCCGCCUUCUUCCCGGAGGAACCCAAAUCUCGGGACGAGAUUCUUUUGAGUGGGGGUGAGUUGUCACAUCCUAGUUAGCCAUGCAUUAGAGUGUUGCAUCAUGUUUACUCUUUCAUCAGAAACUUGAAAUGGGGAUCUGUGAAACCCUCAGAAUCAUUUUGAAAAUGACCCAAAUAAAAAUUUCUCCAAAAGGGUCCAAGAAAAUGCUCAUGUUGCUCUCUGAAAAUAUUGGACAGAGAUAAAAAUCAAACCAAUAUUUUUAGUGGCUCAUGGACAUUUAUUUUGGGCAUUUGGAAUUAAUGCAUAAAUAUUUGCAUUGGAAAUAUAUUAAUUAUAUAUAUUAAUAUAUGCCCAAAUAUUAUGCCAUUUAUAAAAGAGCUCUGGAAUAAUAUAUAUAGCUCCUGCAAAAAUUGGCAUAAGUUAAAUAAAUGAUUUAAUAUAUUUUUUAAAUCAAAACAAAUGUCAGAAAUUAGAAAACAGAAAAAUAUAUAACAGGAGGAGCUUACCUGGGCUCCUCCACUGUGCGGCCCAGCCAGCUGGCCGGCCCAGCUAGCAGCCGGCCCAGCCCAUCUCCCUCCUCUGUCGUCUUCGUCCCGACAGAGGGAGGGGAGUGUGGCCGGCGCGCGCGCGCGCCACCGCGCCACGCCACCUCUCUCCCUGCCUGCCUGCCCUCCCUCUCCUCGCCUCGAUGCCCUGGACGACGCCACGCCUCCCCCCUGCUCUCUCUCACUCUCCCCCGGCUCUUCCUUCCUCUCCCUCGCUCUCUCUCUCACACGGCCGAACACCACCGUCGCCGCCGUUCGCCAUAGCAGCCAUCUCCGGCCACCCCUCGCUCCCCCGACUAGCUCAGAAGCUCCGCCACGACCCCCUCUUCCUCCCCACCGCUCCACGGUCCUCCAGAAGCCCUGCAUCGCCGCCACGUCGCCGUUCCCCUCUUCGGGCUCCGACCAUCGUCGCCGUCGAAUUCGUCGUCUCCAGCGCGUCCCGGAGCCCGCUAACCAUCCCUGCAGCUCCGCGGUGAGCCCCCGGAUCAUUUCCCCCUUCUCCCCUGGUCUCUUUCGACCUCUAGGCCCUAACCCCACCUUGGCCGAGAGCUCCACGCCGCCGGCGAUGUCGCCGUCGUGGCCACGGUCACCGUAGCACCCAACCGAGCGCACUAUCGUGCUUCCCACCUCACCAGGAGCACGCAGCACACACUAACGCCUCCCCAAACCCCUUGCAAGAUCGAUUCCGACCGCACCCGAACUCCGGCAGCCGCAGCCGAGCUCGCCGCCGUCGACUCCGGCCACCCCAGGGCCAGCCACGGCCACCGUCCGACGCGCCGUCGAGCUAGCUAUCCAACGCACCUAGCCGCACGCCGUUUGGAGCACCACAGAGGAAACCCGAGGCCCCUGCACGCCGCGGACCUCGCCGGCGACUAACCGCCGGCGGGUUUGACCUGUCCGACCUGAGGUUUGACCCCCCCAGGGUCACUGACGCGUGGGCCCUGUCGGACAGGUGGUUAGUUAGUACUAAUUACCGUUAGUCAACCCCCCCUGACACUGACAGUGGGCCCCAGCGCCACUAAUCCCUAAUUAGGAUUAAUUUAAACCUGUUAAACCCCCCUGUCACUGACGUGUGGCCCCCACACGUCAGGUUUGACUUCAGCCAGCCGCAGUUGACCACUGACGUCAUGCUGGCGCAAUAAUUAUAAUUUCUGGAUUUAAUUUAAAUCAGGAAAUUCCAGAAUAUUAUUUAAACUUCAAAAAUUCAUAACUUUUAUUCUGUAACUCCAAAUUGGACAAAUUAUAUAUGAAAAAUGAUCAGAAAAAUCCAAUCUAUCCAUCUGUACUAUUUUCAUGCAUGAUCAAACAAGUUAAAUUGAUAUUUUAAGCAGAACAAGGAAAAGCACUUUAAAAGGCCAUGUUUGAGUUUGAAAUUUGAAUCUUUGAUUCAAAUUUGUUCAAACCCUUCUGGUUUUAGUUGCAUUAGCCCAACACACUCAUAUUGCUAUGUUUCAUGCAUGCAUCAUAUUGUUGCACAUUGUUUGGUGAUGGUUGUGUAUCGGUGUCCUUUGCGACAGGUUCUGCCUCCGAAGAGUACCGUGAUUACCCUAACGAAGAACCGUAUCAGUGCAUCGAACCAUCAGGCAAGCAACCAACCAUUUGAUCAUAUCGAUACAAUCCCAUGUUCUCGCUCCUGCUCUCUUUUACUGCAUUAAGACAACGCGUUUCAAACUGCUGUGUGCUACGGUAGUUGAACCCAUUUCCUCUGCAUGACCUGUCAUUGCCACAGUAACUAGAUGAAACCCACUAGCAUGUGUAGGAGUUGAUUGAGCCAUAUGUAUGUGUUGUUCCUACCUUGCUAUGCCUGCUAUGCUUAGAGUCGUGUCAGGUCUGGUUCAUCUGGGUGAUGGGCUAGAGUGAAAUGGUUAUGUCGGUAAUGAGAGUGGUGUGGUGAACACGUUUUGGUAAAGGUAUCGAUGAGAGGCCAUGUAGGAGUACAUGGUGGGUUGUUUCAUUGAAGCCGACCUUAAGCACUGAGAUCUGUAUGUGUGAUUUAAGAAUCAACUACUACCAUGCAUUGGGCCCGAAACCAAUGGACCCUCUCGGCUUCUUAUUCACCCUAGUUCUCCAUCCAGGAGUUGCAAGUAGUUUCUGGUGUUUGUAGCCUACUGGAGGCCGUGGACAGCGCUGACCGUAGGGGUGGGCUGUGAUGCGGUAGGUACGUGGCACGGUGUACCGAAUACCCGUUAGGUAUCUCGGGAACCCUGUUCACAUCGUUCGGGGCCGUAUGGGAAACCUCGGCCGGACUCCCUGCGGAUGGAACCUGAAUAGGCGAUAAACCCAGACUGGAGGCUUAGGUGAUUAGGUAGGUCGUGGCCGACACCCACGUUGGGCUUCCGCUUGAAGGUUGCCGAGUACAUGUCGUGUAAGCGACGGUAAGUGGUGAGAGCGUGUAUGAAGAAGUACACCCCUGCAGGGUUAACAUGAUCUAUUCGAAUAGCCGCGUCCGCGGUAAAGGACUACUUGGUUGCCUAUACAGUUCAUAGACAAGUAAAUGGAAACUACUAAAAGCCUCAAGAUAAGUGUGAGUGCCGAGGAUGGCUCUUCCGUAGGAAGACGGAGGUGGAUCCUCGGUAGUGUAUUGAAGUGGUGAGUAGUGGACUCGUGUGCGCAAAACCAUUUCAAGUUGGAGUAUCGUAGGAUAGUCUAGCCAAGAGUCAAAGCUGGCCUGCUGCAAUAACUCCACCAACCCUUCUUGAUACUAUGCAUGUAUGUAGGAUCUGAUGUAAGUCUUGCUGAGUACCUUUGUACUCAUGUUGCUAUAAUCUACAUUUUUACAGAAGACGCUGCAACCCCUUCUGAUGGGUUCUAUGUAGACGUUGACAUCAACGAGUAGGCUAAAGACCCAGGUGGUGACCCUGAGCUUGUGAUGGACCACAUAGUAUAGUUAGGCUUCCAAGCCUCUUUUAUUUUACUAGUUGUCUGUACUCAGACAAAUUACUUCCGCUGUUGGCUUGUAUGACUGUAUGACUUGUAUGUUGGGUCGUGAGACCCGUACCUGUGUGUAUGAUAUGUAUGGCUCCCUGAGCCUUAAAUAAAGUACUUGUGUCAUAGAGUCAUGUUGUGAUGCUCCGUUGUAUUUACACAUAUCGAGCAUAUUGUGUGUAUGAUUGAAAUGCUUGGUAUGUGUGGGAUCUGACUAUCUAGUUGUUUAUCUUUAGUAGCCUCUCUUACCGGGAAAUGUCUCCUAGUGUUACCACUGAGCCAUGGUAGCUUGCUACUGCUCUGGAACACUUAGGCUGGCCGGCAUGUGUCCUUCUUCGUUCCUGUGUCUGUCCCUUCGGGGAAAUGUCACGCUUUGAGUACCGGAGUCCUGUUAGCCCGCUACAGCCCGGUUUACCGGAGUCCUGCUAGCCCAGUGCUACAGCCCGGACCCACUUGCUGAUGACCGACACGUUCGAAGCUGGGUCAUGGAUGCCUGUCCCUGUAAGUCUGUGCCACUUUGGGUUUACAACUAGUCAUGUCAGCCUGGGCUCUUUAUCAUAUGGAUGCUAGCGACACUAUCAUAUACGUGAGCCAAAAGGCGCAAACGGUCCCGGGCAAAGGUAAGGCGACACCCGUGGGAAUACCGUGCGUGAGGCCGCAAAGUGAUAUGAAGUGUUACCGGCUAGAUCGAUGUGACAUCGAGUCGGGGUCCUGACAGCGUUGAAUUAAAUCAGGAAAUUCCAGAAUAUUAAUUAAACUUCAAAAAUUCAUAACUUUUAUUCUGUAACUCCAAAUUGGACAAAUUAUAUAUGAAAAAUGAUCAGAAAAAUCCAAUCUAUCCAUCUGUACCAUUUCCAUGCAUGAUCAAACAAGUUAAGUUGAUGUUUUAAUCAGAACAAGAAAAGGCACUUUAAAAGGCCAUAUUUGAAUUUGAAAUUUGAAUCCUUGAUUCAAAUUUGUUCAAACCCUUCUGGUUUUAGUUGCAUUAGCCCAACACACUCAUAUUGCCAUGUUUCAUGCAUGCAUCAUAUUGUUGCAUAUUGUUUGGUGAUGUUUGUGUAUCGAUGUCCUUUGCGACAGGAUCUGUCCCCGAGGAGUACCGUGAUUACCCUAACGAAGAACCGUAUCCGUGCAACGAACCAUCAGGCAAGCAACCAACCAUCUGAUCAUAUCGAUACAAUCCCAUGUUCUCGCUCCUGCUCUCUUUUACUGCAUUAAGACAACGCGAUUCAAACUGCUGUGUGUUACGGUAGUUGAACCCAUUUCCUCUGCAUGACCUGUCAUUGCCACAGUAACUAGAUGAAACCCACUAGCAUGUGUAGGAGUUGAUUGAGCCAUAUGUAUGUGUUGUUCCUACCUUGCUAUGCCUGCUAUGCUUAGAGUUGUGUCAGGUCUGGUUCAUCUGGGUGAUGGGCUAGAGUGAAAUGAUUAUGUCGGUAAUGGGAGUGGUGUGGUGAACACGAUUUGGUAAAGGUAUCGAUGAGAGGCCAUGUAGGAGUACAUGGUGGGUUGUUUCAUUGAAGCCGACCUUAAGCACUGAGAUCUGUAUGUGUGAUUUAAGAAUCAACUACUACCAUGCAUUGGGCCCGAAACCAAUGGACCCUCUCGGCUUCUUAUUCACCCUAGUUCUCCGUCCAGGAGUUGCAAGUAGUUUCUGGUGUUUGUAGCCUACUGGAGGCCGUGGACAGCGCUGACCGUAGGGGUGGGCUGUGAUGCGGUAGGUACGUGGCCGGGUGUACCGAAUACCCGUUAGGUAUCUCGGGAACCCUGUUCACAUCGUUCGGGGCCGUAUGGGAAACUUCGGCCGGACUCCCUGCGGAUGGAACCUGAAUAGGCGAUAAACCUGGACUGGAGGCUUAGGUGAUUAGGUAGGUCGUGGCCGACACCCACGUUGGGCUUCCGCUUGAAGGUUGCCGAGUACAUGUCGUGUAAGCGACGAUAAGUGGUGAGAGCGUGUAUGAAGAAGUACACCCCUGCAGGGUUAACAUGAUCUAUUCGAAUAGCCGCGUCCGCGGUAAAGGACUACUUGGUUGCCUAUACAGUUCAUAGACAAGUAAAUGGAAACUACUAAAAGCCUCAAGAUAAGUGUGAGUGCCGAGGAUGGCUCUUCCGUGGGAAGACGGAGGUGGAUCCUCGGUAGUGUAUUGAAGUGGUGAGUAGUGGACUCGUGUGCGCAAAACCAUUUCAAGUUGGAGUAUCGUAGGAUAGUCUAGCCAAGAGUCAAAGCUGGCUUGCUGCAAUAACUCCACCAACCCUUCUUGAUACUAUGCAUGUAUGUAGGAUCUGAUGUAAGUCUUGCUGAGUACCUUUGUACUCAUGUUGCUAUAAUCUACAUUUUUACAGAAGACGCUGCAACCCCUUCUGAUGGGUUCUAUGUAGACGUUGACAUCAACGAGUAGGCUAAAGACCCAGGUGGUGACCCUGAGCUUGUGAAGGACCACGUAGUAUAGCUAGGCUUUCCAAGCCUCUUUUAUUUUACUAGUUGUCUGUACUCAGACAAGUUACUUCCGCUGCUGGUUUGUAUGACUGUAUGACUUGUAUGUUGGGUCGUGAGACCCGUACCUUUGUGUAUGAUAUGUAUGGCUCCCUGAGCCUUAAAUAAAGUACUUGUGUCAUAGAGUCAUGUUGUGAUGCUUCGUUGUAUUUGCACAUAUCGAGCAAAUUGUGUGUAUGAUUGAAAUGCUUGGUAUGUGUGGGAUCUGACUAUCUAGUUGUUUAUCUUUAGUAGCCUCUCUUACCGGGAAAUGUCUCCUAGUGUUACCGCUGAGCCAUGGUAGCUUGCUACUGCUCUGGAACACUUAGGCUGGCCGGCAUGUGUCCUUCUUCGUUCCUGUGUCUGUCCCUUCGGGGAAAUGUCACGCUUUGAGUACCGGAGUCCUGUUAGCCCGCUACAGCCCGGUUUACCGGAGUCCUGCUAGCCCAGUGCUACAGCCCGGACCCACUUGCUGAUGACCGACACGUUCGAAGCUGGGUCAUGGAUGCCUGUCCCUGUAAGUCUGUGCCACUUUGGGUUUACGACUAGUCAUGUCAGCCCGGGCUCCUUAUCAUAUGGAUGCUAGCGACACUAUCAUAUACGUGAGCCAAAAGGCGCAAACGGUCCCGGGAAAAGGUAAGACGACACCCGUGGGGAUACCGUGCGUGAGGCCGCAAAGUGAUAUGAGGUGUUACCGGCUAGAUCGAUGUGACAUCGAGUCGGGGUCCUGACAAAGCGAUGGUGCGCCUGCAUUCCGAAGAAUGGCUCGAGGCCAUAAAAUCCGAGAGAGGAUCCAUGUAUAAAACAAAGUAUAGACUUUGAAAGAACUACUUGAUGGUCGUAAGGCUGUUGGGUGCAGAUGGAUUUUAAAAGGAAGACAUACAAUGAUGGUGAGUGUCACCAUUAAGAAAGCUCGACUUGUCGUUAAGAUGUUUCCCGACAAGUUCAAGGAGUUCAUUACGAUGAGACUUUCUCACUCGUAGUGAUGCUAAGAGUCUGUUGAAAUUAUGUUAGUAGUUACUGCAUUAUUUAUGAAAUCUUGCAGAUAGGAUGUCAAAACAUUGUUUCCUCGACGUUUUUCUUGAGGAAAGGUUGUAUGUGAUACAACCAGAAGGUCUUGUCAAUCCUGAAAGAUGCUAACAAGUAUGCAAAGCUCCAGCAAUCCUUCUAAGGACUGGAGUAAGCAUCUCGGAGUUGGAAUGUACGCUUUGAUAAGAUGAUCCAAGAUUUUGGGUUUAUACAAAGUUUAUGAGAAACUUGUAUUUCCAAAGAAGUGAGUGGGAGCACUAUAGAAUUUUUGAUGAGUAUAUGUUGUUAACAUAUUGUUGAUCAGAAAUAAUGUAGAAUUUCUGGAAAGCAUACAGGGUUAUUUGAAAAGUGUUUUUCGAUGGAAAACCUAGAUUAAGCUACUUGAACAUUGAGCAUCAAGAUCUAUAAGGAUAGAUCAAAAACGCUUAAUAGUACUUGCAAAUGAAUACAUACCGUGACAAGAUUUUGAAGGAGUUCAAAAUAGAUCAGCAAAGAAGGAGUUCUUGGCUGUGUUACAAGGUGUGAGUAUUGAGUAAAGACUCAAGACCUGACCACGGCAGAAGAGAGAGAAAGGAUGAAGGUCGUCCCCUAUGCUUUAGACAUAGGCUCUACAGUAUGCUAUGCUGUGUACCGCACCUGAAGUGUGCCUUGCCAUGAGUCAGUCCAGGGGUACAAGGGUGAUCCAGGAAUGGAUCACAUGACAGCGGUCGAACUUAUCCUUAGUAACUAGUGGACUAAGGGAUUUUCUCGAUUAUGGGGGUGGUAAAAGAGUUCGUCGUAAAGGGUUACAUCGAUGCAAACUUUGACACUAAUCUGGAUGACUCUGAAUAGUAAACCGGAUUCAUAUAGUAGAGCAGUUAUUUGGAAUAGCUCAAAGUAGCGCGUGGUAGCUACAUCUACAAGAUGACAUAGAGAUUUGCAAAGCACACAUGAAUCUGAAAGGUUCAGACCCAUUGACUAAUAAACCUCUCUCACAAGCAAGAUAUGAACAAACCCCAUGGGUGUUGGAUUCAUUACAGUCACAUAGUGAUGUGAACUAGAUUAUUGACUCUAGUACAAGUGGGAGACUGUUGGAAAUAUGCCCUAGAGGCAAUAAUAAAAUGGUUAUUAUUGUAUUUCCUUGUUCAUGAUAAUUGUCUAUUGUUCAUGCUAUAAUUGUAUUAACCAGAAACCGUAAUACAUGUGUGAAUACAUAGACCACAACAUGUCCCUAGUAAGCCUCUAGUUGACUAGCUCGUUGAUCAAUAGAUGGUCAUGGUUUCUUGACCAUGGACAUUGGAUGUCAUUGAUAACGGGAUCACAUCAUUAGGAGAAUGAUGUGAUGGACAAGGCCCAAUCCUAAGCAUAGCACAAGAUCGUGUAGUUCAUCUGCUAAAGCUUUUCUAAUGUCAAGUAUCUUUUCCUUAGACCAUGAGAUUGUGGAACUCCCGGAUACUGUAGGAAUACUUUGGGUGUGCCAAACGUCACAACGUAACUGGGUGACUAUAAAGGUGCACUACGGGUAUCUCCGAAAGUGUUUGUUGGGUUGGCACGAAUCGAGACUGGGAUUUGUCACUCCGUAUGACGGAGAGGUAUCUCUGGGCCCACUCGGUAAGACAUCAUCGUAAUGAGCUCAAUGUGACUAAGGGUUAGUCACGGGAUGAUGUGUUACGGAACGAGUAAAGUGACUUGCCGGUAACGAGAUUGAACGAGGUAUUGGGAUACCGAUGAUCGAAUCUCGGGCAAGUAACGUACCGAUUGACAAAGGGAAUUGUAUACGGGAUUGCUUGAAUCCUCGACAUCAUGGUUCAUCCGAUGAGAUCAUCGUGGAACAUGUGGGAGCCAACAUGGGUAUCCAGAUCCCGCUGUUGGUUAUUGGCCGGAGAGUUGUCUCGGUCAUGUCUGCAUGGUUCUCGAACCCGUAGGGUCUACACACUUAAGGUUCGAUGACGCUAGGGUUAUUAGGAAGACUUGUAUGUGAUUACCGAAUGUUGUUCGGAGUCCCGGAUGAGAUCCUGGACGUCACGAGGAGUUCCGGAAUGGUACGUACGUGAAGAUUUAUAUGUGGGAAGUUAUCAUACGGUCACCGGAAAGGUUCGGGGGCAUAUCGGUAUUGUACCGGGGCCACCGGAGGGGUUCUGGGGGUCCACCGGGAGGGGAAACCUCUCCGGAGGGCCUUAUGGGCUAUAAGGGGAAGGGAACCAGCCCCAAGUGGGCUGGGGCGCCAACCCCCCAAGGGCCCAUGCGCCUAGGGUUGGGGGGAACCCUAAAGGGGGCACCCCCCUUGGCUUGGGGGGCAAGCCCCCUCCUCCUUAGCCGACGCCCCCCCUCUAGAUCUCAUCUAGAGGUGGCCGCCCCCCUUUCCCCCUCCCCUAUAAAUAGAGGGGCAAAGGGAGGGCUGCACCACCACAUCAUCCAAGGCGCAGCUCCUCCUCUCCCCAACACCUCUCCUCCUCCGUGUGAGCUUGGCGAAGCCCUGCGAGAACUGCCACUCCAUCACCUCCACGCCGUCGUGCUGCUGUUGGAGCUCUCUUCCUCAACCUCUCCCUCCUCCUUGCUGGAUCAAGGUGCGGGAGACGUCUCCGUUUCGUACGUGUGUUGAACGCGGAGGUGCCGUCCGUUCAGCGCUAGGAUCAUCGGUGAUUUGGAUCACGAUGAGUACGACUCCAUCAACCCCGUUCUCUUGAACGCUUCCGCUUAGCGAUCUUCAAGGGUAUGAAUAUGCACUCCCUCUCUCUCGUUGCUAGUAUCUCCUAGAUUGAUCUUGGUGACACGUAGGAAAAUUUUGAAUUAUUGCUACGUUCCCCAACAACACUCUCUCCUUGUUUAUUCCAAAAGUAGUUUCAGAAAUAAAAACAUCACCAAAAUGUGCAUAGCCCAUGAUCAUCUUAGCAUCAAUCAAAAAUAUGUUUCGUAUUUGUUCUUCACAAUCCAUUUGCAAUGCAUAUUGGAAUGACCGGUUUUCAGCAAUUUUUUCUUGGAAAUACUUAAGAAUGCUACCUGCUUGGCCAUAUGUAAUUUCUUGUCGCUACUUGGUCCGCAAAUAGUUCUUGUGAUCACGAAGGGUAUAGUUAAGAUUGAAUUGCCCACCAACUUAGCAGUUAGCCAAUUCAUGUGCAGAUUUUGGCCCUAUUCCCGCAUUGUCGGUGCACAAAAGUAGGGGCUCUCUUUUGUACCCCUUUACUUGUGCGCAGACAGUUAGAGCCGCGCCUGCGGCCAUACCUAGCGGGGCAGAGGAAGCAAAAGCACAAGACAACUAGAACAACGCCAAGACCAGAGACACAAAGAGCAAGAGGGCGAGGUGGACUCCCUCGGCAAGGCCCUUGCCGGGGCGGCCUCCGCAGCCCAGGCAAGACCCUUGCCGGGGCAACUUGCCCAACGCUAGCAGAGCGCGCCACCCUUGAGCCCAAGGGUUCCAACACCAUCUACCACAUUGGAACCAAGGCUCAGGAGGAACCUCCAUGGUGACAUACAUAUCUUUGUGAAGGCAAAUAGCCCACAAGACUAGACGAUGACCAGAAGACAAGACAAUCGCAAGCCCCCUUACCGAGGAUGCCCCCGAGGCCCCGACAAGGCUCGUUGCCGAAAACACUCGCAUGGCCCCGACAAGACUCUUGUUGAGGGCGAUCACAAGACUACCGCGACAAGACCUUGCCGCCCCAGCUCAGCGGCCAACCCACCAAUUGAGGCUAGUAGCCACGUGGCAGUACGUGGAUGCUAAUCCAGCUAGUCAAGCACCUGCGUGGUGGCAUGCAGAUCUUCGUGAAGACCCUACCAUCACGCCAUCUCAGCAGCGUGCCAGCUUACGUGGCGCUGCAUGCCUUGUUGGCCUGGACACAUGUUGGAGCGAGGCGGAACAGCGACGGACGGGACGGGCCUCAUUGCCAUCCCCAAUAAAGCAACGGGACACCUAAGGAGCGCAUUUAAUGUGCCUUGUCCCGUAAUGACAGGUGAUAAGCUUGUACACUAUUUACCUUUCCACCUCCUGUGUGUCACUGCGGCGACCCCUUUUUGACUAUAAAAGGAGGCCCGAGGCGUACUGGAGAAGGAUUCAUAUCUUUUGGACUACUCACGCACCGCAGCUAGUUCGGAAGCUCAAGAACACUCAAAUAUAAACCAAAGCAGGAUUAGGGUAUUACACAUCCUUGCGGCCCAAACCUGGGUAAACGAUCUUUGUGCUAGCUACUAGAGCCGCUCUUUGCACAACCCCGCGCCCGCCAACCGUAGAAGGGAUCCCAGUGAUUCCAUAGGUGUUGUUUCCACUGACAUCUUUGGCGCGCUAGGUAGGGGGGCAUAGUUGUGAAAAUCCGGUCUAGCAGUUUGUUUAGCAGUUCUUCAUCACUAUGGCUCCCAAGAAGAAAAGGAUCACGGCGAUCGGUUCAUUGGGAGCCGAACGACCUGUACUAGUGCGGGCGAGUGGUGGGGCGGCCGCGAACGGAAGCCGAGGCAUGGCACGAACACCCACAUCGCUCUGGCGGUCAAAGCCUGGCGAGCGGCAUCGUUCGUGCGUGAGACGACGGGCCACACGCCGCCAAAUCCAAAGACGGAGCCGGGCCCCCGCAGGCGGCGCGGGCCCCUCCAAGGGCAGCGUCAUGCCACCCAUAGGCGGCGCAGCGACUUCCAAGAUGCCUACGCCGGCGCCCAUGACGCGCUCUUCCAAGAUUGUGCGCGACGAGCAGCGCCACCAUGCUGGUGACCUCGGGCGCCGCUGUGGGAAGAGUCAUGCGCCUCAUUCGCGGGACAUAGAAGGCCAGCAUGCACACCGAGGCGCUGGCGAAAAUGGUGCACAGCUGCAAGGCCGUGAUAGAGCCCCUUCUAACGUGGUUAGAAGUCGGAGCGCAUCACGGUCCAUGUAGCUUUCGCCGCACCCACACCAACGGAAGCUUUGGCGCGCGCAUAGUUGCUCCUCGACUUUCCUCCUGCUGCGGAAAAGCUCGACGAGUGGAGAUCCACCAUCCGGAGCCUCGUCGGUGUUGCCAACAAAGAUGAGCCGUGACCAGCGGGGCCCUCAGGCCGGCGCUUCGUCGAGCCACCGCAUGCUAGUGGUGGAAAGACCGGAGGUGCUGCGGCCACGAUGCACUCUCCUCCCCCACGCCGGCCACCGUGGGUGUCAGUCCGUCGUGAUGACACUUGUGAUAAAAUUUGCAUAGCAUCGUCCGACCCACGGACCCAUCGCGAUCAACGCCAAGUUCUUCGGGAGUGGGCCCAUGAAGACGCUCGAACCACCAUCGAGUGCUGGCGUGAAGCAUGCCACCAGCCAGAUAGGCGAGCGGGGCCCUCUAUGGACCACCCAACACCGGGAGGCUCUAGCGGCCUACCCUAUGAGGUGGGCUGCCCAGCCUUUACCCCUGAGCUGCGGCAGUUCCAGUGGCCCUCCCACCGCAUGUUCAAGCCCGACGUUGGCGAGAAGUACAGUGGCAAGACCCACCCGUCAAAGUUCCUCAACAUCUACACCAUCGCAACGCAAGCUGCUAGAGCUCGCGGCGACAAGGUGCUUGCCAAUUACUUCCCAUUGGCACUAAAACCCAAUGUCAUGUCAUGGUUGAUGCACUUGCCAGCGGAUUCCAUUUCUUCUUGGCCGGAUUUGUGUCAUGAGUUCGUUGGCGCCUUCACUGGAGGCCACCAAGCUCAUGGCCAGGCAAGCGAUUUGCAUAUCAUCCCCCAAAAGGAAGGUGAAAACAUGCGCAAGUACAUACAGAGGUUCAGCCGGGUGCAGUACAACAUCCCAGAUGUUCAUCCCGCCACCGUGAUCAGCGCAUUCCAUCACAAUGUGCGCAACCGCAAGAUGCGUGAAGAGCUGGCGAUCAACAAGGUCAAAGAUGUGGCCGAACUUUAUGUUCUGGCCGAUAGGUGUGCUCGAGCUAAAGAGGGAAGGAAGUACCCCGGCGAGGACGCCGGUGCGGAAAUCGACACUACAGACGAAGACACAGUCGCCCCGACGAAGAAAGGCCGGCGUCGCAGCAGGAAGCGCAAGGGCAAGACCGUGCUUGCCGUCGAGGGAUCCGAGGACACCGGCGCUGCCAAGAAGGCCAAGGCAGACGACCCCGGUAAGAAAAUUGCUGGGUGCGCCACUUGCCGGGCCUUGGCGGUUGCCGACAAGCCCGGAGGCUCCGACAAGUGCUACCUCUUGAGCACUGCGUUGGUUUUCCCUUGAAGAGGAAAGGGUGAUGCAGUAGAGUAGCGUAAGUAUUUCCCUCACUUUUUGAGAACCAAGGUAUCAAUCUAGUAGGAGGCCACGCACGAGUCCCUCGCACCUACACAAACAAAUAAACUCCUCGCAACCAACGCGACAAAGGGGUUGUCAAUCCCUUCACGGUCACCUACGAGAGUGAGAUCUGAUAGAUAUGAUAAGAUAAUAUUUUUGCUAUUUUUAUGAUAAAGAGAAAUAAAGAUGCAAGUAAAAUAAAUGGCAAAGGAAAUAACUAAGUAUUGGAAGAUUAAUAUGAUGGAAAAUAGACCCCGGGGCCAUAGGUUUCACUAGAGGCUUCUCUCGAGAGCAUAAGUAUUAUGGUGGAUGAAAAAUUACUGUUGAGCAAUUGACAGAAUUGAGCAUAGUUAUGAGAAUAUCUAGGUAUGAUCAUGUAUAUAGGCAUCACGUCCGAGACAAGUAGACCGACUCCUGCCUGCAUCUACUACUAUUACUCCACACAUCGACCGGUCUCUAGCAUGCAUCUAGAAUAUUAAGUUCAAAAGAACAGAGUAACGCUUUAAGCAAGAUGACAUGAUGUAGAGGGAUAAACUCAUGCAAUAUGAUAUAAACCCCAUAUUGUUAUCCUCAAUGGCAGCAAUACAAUACGUGCCUUGCUGCCCCUACUGUCACUGGGAAAGGACACCGCAAGAUUAAACCCAAAGCUAAGCACUUCUCCCAUUGCAAGAAAGAUCAAUCUAGUAGGCCAAACCAAACUGAUAAUUCGAAGAGACUUGCAAAGAUAACCAAUCAUACAUAAAAGAAUUUAGAGAAGAUUCAAAUAUUGUUCAUAGAUAAACUUGAUCAUAAACCCACAAUUCAUCGAUCUCAACAAACACACCGCUGAAGAAGAUUACAUCGAAUAGAUCUCCACAAGAGAGGGGGAGAACUUUGUAUUGAGAUCCAAAAAGAGAGAAGAAGCCAUCUAGCUAAUAACUAUGGACCCGUAGGUCUGAAGUAAACUACUCACACUUCAUCGGAGAGGCUAUGGUGUUGACGUAGAAGCCCUCCGUGAUCGAUACCCUCUCCGGCGGAGCUCCAGAAAAGGCCCCAAGAUGGGAUCUCAUGGAUACAAAAACUUACGGCGGUGGAAUUAGGGUUUUGGCUUCGUAUCUGGUAGUUUGGGGGUACGUAGGUAUAUAUAGGAGGAAGGAGUACGUCGGUGGAGCAACAUGGGCCCCAUGAGGGUGGAGGGCGCGCCUGGGGGGUAGGCGCGCCCCCUACCUCGUGCCUUCCUUGUUGAUUGCUUGACGUAGGGUCCAAGUCCUCUGGAUCAUGUUCGUUCCAAAAAUCACGUUCCCGAAGAUUUCAUUCCGUUUGGACUCCAUUUGAUAUUCUUUUUCUGCAAAACCCUAAAAUAGGUAAAAAAACAACAAUUCUGGGCUGGGCCUCCGGUUAAUAGGUUAGUCCCAAAAAUAAUAUAAAAGUGUAUAAUAAAGCUCAAUAAUGUCCAAAACAGGAUAUAAUAUAGCAUGGAAUAAUAAAAAAUUAUAGAUACAUUGGAGACAUACCAAGCAUCCCCAAGCUUAAUUCCUGCUCGUCCUCGAGUAGGUAAAUGAUAAAAACAGAAGUUUUAAUGUGGAAUGCUACUUGGCAUAAUUUCAAUGUAAUUCUCUUAAUUGUGGUAUGAAUAUUCAGAUCCGAAAGAUUCAAGACAAAAGUUUAAUAUUGACAUAGAAAUAAUAAUACUUCAAGCAUACUAACUAAGAAAUUAUGUCUCUUCAAAAUAACAUGGCCAAAGAAAGUUAUCCUUACAAAAUCAUAUAGUCUGUCUAUGCUCCAACUUCAUCACACAAAGUAUUCAAAUCAUGCACAACCCUGAUGACAAGCCAAGUAAUUGUUUCAUACUUUUGGUGUUCUCAAACUUUGUCAAUCUUCACGCAGUACAUGAGCGUGAGCCAUGGACAUAGCACUAUAGGUGGAAUAUAAUGGUGGUUGUGGAGAAGGCAAAAAGGGAGAAGAUAGUCUCACAUCAACUAGGCAUAUCAACAUGCUAUGGAGAUGCCCAUCAAUAGAUAUCAAUGUGAGUGAGUAGGGAUUGCCAUGGAACGGAUGCACUAGAGCUAUAAGUAUAUGAAAGCUCAACAAAAAGAAACUAAGUGGGUGUGCAUCCAACUUGCUUGCUCACGAAGACCUAGGGCAUUUUGAGGAAGCCCAUCGUUGGAAUAUACAAGCCAAGUUCUAUAAUGAAAAAAUCCCACUAGUAUAUGAAAGUGAUAACAUAGGAGACUCUCUAUUAUGAAGAUCAUGGUGCUACUUUGAAGCACAAGUGUGGAAAAAAAGUAUUGUCCCUUUUUAUUUAUUCUCUUUUUUGGGCUUUUUUUAUUUGGCCUCUCUCUCUUCUUUUUGGGACAAUACUCUAUGAAUGAUGAUCAUCACACUUCUAUUUAUUUACAACUCAAUGAUUACAACUCGAUACUAGAACAAAGUAUGACUCUAUAUGAAUGCCUCCGGCGGUGUACCGGGAUAGCAAUGAUGCAUGAGUGACUUAUAUGAAAGAAUUAUGAACGGUGGCUUUGCCACAACUAAAAUGUCAAGUACAUGAUCAUGCGAAGCAAUAUGACAAUGAUGGAGCAUGUCAUGGUAAACGGAACAGUGGAAAGUUGCAUGGCAAUAUAUCUCGGAAUGGCUAUGGAAAUGCCAUGGUAGGUAGGUAUGGUGGCUGUUUUGAGAAAGGUAUAUGGUGGGUGUAUGAUAUCGGCGAAAGGUGCGCGGUAUUAGAGAGGCUAGCAAUGGUGGAAGGGUGAGAGUGCGUAUAAUCCAUGGACUCAACAUUAGUCAUAAAUAACUCACAUACUUAUUGCAAAAAUCUAUUAGUUAUCGAAGCAAAGUACUACGUUNNNNNNNNNNNNNNNNNNNNNNNNNNNNNNNNNNNNNNNNNNNNNNNNNNNNNNNNNNNNNNNNNNNNNNNNNNNNNNNNNNNNNNNNNNNNNNNNNNNNNNNNNNNNNNNNNNNNNNNNNNNNNNNNNNNNNNNNNNNNNNNNNNNNNNNNNNNNNNNNNNNNNNNNNNNNNNNNNNNNNNNNNNNNNNNNNNNNNNNNNNNNNNNNNNNNNNNNNNNNNNNNNNNNNNNNNNNNNNNNNNNNNNNNNNNNNNNNNNNNNNNNNNNNNNNNNNNNNNNNNNNNNNNNNNNNNNNNNNNNUCUUAACAUAACGGUUCACCAUAUGUGCAUGCUACGGGAAUCACAAACUUCAACACAAGCAUUUCUCAAAUUCACAACUACUCAACUAGCACAACUCUAAUAUCACCAUCUCCAUAUCUCAAAACAAUUAUCAAGUUUCAAACUUCUCAUAGUAUUCAACACACUCAUAAGAAAAUUUUAUUAUUAAUCUUGAAUGCCUAAAAUAAUUAAAACAAAUUACCAUGCUGUUUUGUAGGACUCUAAAAAUAAUCUAAGUGAAGCAUGAGAGAACAAUGGUUUCUAUAAAACAAAUCUACCAACGUGCUCUAAAAGAUACAAGUGAAGCACUAGAGCAAAAACUAUAUAACUCAAAAGAUAUAAGUGAAGCACAUAGAGUAUUCUAACAACUUAUGAAUCAUGAGUGUCUCUCUCAAAAAGGUGCGUGCAGCAAGGAUGAUUGUGGAAAACUAACAAAUAAAGACUCAAAUAAUACAAGACGCUCCAAGCAAAACACAUAUCGUGUGGUAAAUAAAAAUAUAGCUCCAAGUAAAGUUACCGAUAGAAGCAGACGAAAGAGGGGAUGCCUUCCGGGGCAUCCCAAGCUUUGGCUUUUAGGUGUCCUUAGAUUAUCUUGGGGGUUCCAUGGGCAUCCCUAAGCUUAGGCUCUUGCCACUCCUUGUUCCAUAAUCCAUCAAAUUUUUACCCAAAACUUGAAAACUUCACAACACAAAACUUAAAGUAGAAAAUCUCGUGAGCUCCGUUAGCGAAAGAAAACAAAACACCACUUCAAGAUACUGUAAUGAACUCAUUAUUUAUUUAUAUUGGUGUUAAACCUACUGUAUUCCAACUUCUAUAUGGUUUAUAAACUAUUUUACUAGCCAUAGAUUCAUCAAAAUAAGCAAACAACACACGAAAAACAGAAUCUGUCAAAAACAGAACAGUUUGUAGUAAUAUGUAGCUAACGCAAGAUCUGGAACCCCAAAAAUUCUAAAAUAAAUUUAUGUACGUGAGUAAUUUAUCUAUUAAUCAUCUUCAAAAAGAAUUAACUAAAUAGAAUUUUCCAAAUAAAAAUGGCAGCAGUUCUCAUGAGCGCUAAAGUUUCUGUUUUUUACAGCAAGAUUAAAAAGAUUUUCCCCAAGUUUUUCCAACGGUUCUACUUGGCACAAACACUAAUUAAACACAAAAAUACACAACCAUAACAGAGGCUAGAUAAAUUAUUUAUUACUAAACAGGAGCAAAAGGCAAGGAAUAAAAAUAAAAUUGGGUUGCCUCCCAACAAGCACUAUCGUUUAACGCCCCUAGCUAGGCAUAAAAGCGAAGAUAGAUCUAGGUAUCUUUAGUUGGUAAUUAUUUAAUGAGACAUCUAUCACCUUUAGGAGUUUCUUUCCUUUUAUAAAUAAUCAAACUUCUAGGCACAAAAUUGAAAAAAUCAUUAGUAGCAAAUGGUUCCUUAAUGAUAGUAAAAAGAUUAGGAUGAAUACUUAUAGAUUUGAGAUCCGCAGUUUCUUUGCUAGAGGAUUCACCCUUAUUUUUAGGAACAUACAUAAGCUUGGAAAUUUUAGUUGGAGGACAUGGGGUAUUCUUUACGGAAGAAAAAGCGGUUCCCAAGUUGGUAAUGAUACCCUCAAGUUUAUCGAUUCUAGUGGAAUCAUGAUUUAUUCUUUCAUUAACUAUGGGUUCCUUCUCCUUAAUAUUUUUCAAAGUGACUCCUACUUUAGAUCCAUAUUGAGUAAUUUGGUUGUGGAUCUUUUUAUCGAAAUUUUCAAUUAACUCUAUGGUAGCAACUUUAUUUUCAAUAAUUUCAAGUUUUUGCAUUACAUUCUCCAAAGUUAACAUAGUUCCAUUAACCAAAAGAGGGGGUGAGCCAAAUAUAUCAUAGUAUUAUAGGAAUCAAAAGUGUGGCUAUCCAAGAAGUUCCCUCCGGUAAUGGUAUCAAGGACAUAUCUGUGCCAAGGAAUAGCACCUACAUAAAAAUUGCGAAGAAGAAUAGAAGUAGAUUGCUUCCUGGUAGAUCUAUUUUGAGCAUUGCAAAUUCUAUACCAAGCUUCUUUUAGGCUUUCUCCUUCCCUUUGCUUAAAAUUAAGAACUUCAUUUUUGGGAGACAACGGAGAAGAUAGGGGACUAGCCAUAACAACAAGCAAGCAAACCGACACACAAGCAAACAAGAAACGAGCAAAAAGAGGCGAAUUGAGAAAGAGAGGGAGGAUAGAGAGAGAGGGUGAAUAAAACGGCAAGGGUGACGUGGGGGAGAGGAAAAUGAGAUGCAAAUGGCAAAUAAUGUAAUGCGGGAGAUAAGGGUUUGUGAUGGGUACUUGGUAUGUUGACUUUUGCAUAGACUCCCCGGCAACGGUGCCAGAAAUCCUUCUUGCUACCUCUUGAGCACUGCGUUGGUUUUCCCUUGAAGAGGAAAGGGUGACGCAGUAGAGCAGCGUAAGUAUUUCCCUCAGUUUUUGAGAACCAAGGUAUCAAUCCAGUAGGAGGCCACGCAUGAGUCCCUCGUACCUACACAAACAAAUAAACUCCUCGCAACCAAUGCGAAAAAGGGGUUGUCAAUCCCUUGGCGGUCACCUACGAGAGUGAGAUCUGAUAGAUAUGAUAAGAUAAUAUUUUUGGUGUUUUUAUGAUAAAGAUAAAUAAAGAUGCAAGAAAAAUAAAUGGAAAAGGAAAUAACUAAGUAUUGGAAGAUUAAUAUGAUGGAAAAUAGACCCGGGGGCCACAGGUUUCACUAGAGGCUUCUCUCGAGAGCAUAAGUAUUACGGUGGGUGAACAAAUUACUGUUGAGCAAUUGACAGAAUUGAGCAUAGUUAUGAGAAUAUCUAGGUAUGAUCAUGUAUAUAGGCAUCACAUCCGAGACAAGUAGACCGACUCCUGCCUGCAUCUUCUACUAUUACUCCACACAUCGACCGCUAUCCAGUAUGCAUCUAGAGUAUUAAGUUCAAGAGAACAUAGUAACACUUUAAGCAAGAUGACAUGAUGUAGAGGCAUAAACUCAUGCAAUAUGAUAUAAACCCCAUCUUGUUAUCCUCGAUGGCAAUAAUACAAUGCGUGCCUUGCUGCCCCUACUGUCACUGGGAAAGGACACCACACGAUUGAACCCAAAGCUAAGCACUUCUCCCAUUGCAAGAAAGAUCAAUCUAGUAGGCCAAACCAAACUGAUAAUUCGAAGAGACUUGAAAAGAUAACCAAUCAUACAUAAAAGAAUUCAGAGAAGAUUCAAAUAUUGUUCAUAGAUAAACUUGAUCAUAAACCCACAAUUCAUCGAUCUCAACAAACACACCGCAAAAGAAGAUUACAUCGAAUAGAUCUCCAUAAGAGAGGGGGAGAACUUUAUAUUGAGAUCCAAAAAGAGAGAAGAAGCCAUCUAGAUAAUAAUUAUGGACCUGUAGGUCUGAAGUAAACUACUCACACUUCAUCGGAGAGGCUAUGGUGUUGACGUAGAAGUCCUACGUGAUCGAUACCCCCUCCGGUGGAGCUCCAGAAAAGGCCCCAAGAUGUGAUCUCGUGGAUACAGAAAGUUACGGCGGUGGAAUUAGGGUUUUGGCUCUGUAUCUGGUAGUUUGGGGGUACGUAGGUAUAUAUAGGAGGAAGGAGUACGUCGGUGGAGCAACAUGGGCCCCACGAGGGUGGAGGGCGCGCCUAGGGGGGGUAGGCGCACCCCCUACCUCGUGCCUUCCUUGUUGAUUGCUUGACAUAGGGUCCAAGUCCUCUGGAUCAUGUUCGUUCCAAAAAUCACGUUCCCGAAGGUUUCAUUUCGUUUGGACUCCGUUUGAUAUUCUUUUUCUAUGAAACCCUAAAAUAGGCAAAAAAAACAGCAAUUCUGGGUUGGGCCUCCGGUUAAUAGGUUAGUCCAAAAAAUAAUAUAAAAGUGUAUAAUAAAGCCCAAUAAUGUCCAAAACAGGAUAUAAUAUAGCAUGGAACAAUCAAAAAUUAUAGAUACGUUGGAGACGUAUCAACAAGCAAUACUGCAAGAUCCACCGCACCAAGGGCCACGACCUCCAGAAUUGCCGACAAGUUGAGCUGCUUGCUGAGAAGCAAAAAGCUGAGUAUGAGAGGCGGAACAAGGAGAAGGGCCAGGAUGGUGCCAAGGAUCUAGCAAGAAGCGUGGCGGCCAAGGAGGUCGCCGCAGCAAGGAUAACCAGCAAGAGAGGCCCGCCCAGGGCCGCGACAAGAAGCAGGAAGACGACGGUCAUGAUGAGGACGACGAGUCCAGCGAGUGAUAGCCCACAAGUAUAGGGGAUCGCAACAGCUUUCGAGGGUAGAGUAUUCAACCCAAAUUUAUUGAUUCGACACAAGGGGAGCCAAAGAAUAUUCUCAAGUAUUAGCAGCUAAGUUGUCAAUUCAACCACACCUAGAAACUUAGUAUCUGUAGCAAAGUGUUUAGUAGCAAAGUAAUAUGAUAGUGGUGGUGGCGGCAACAAAAGUAAAGACAGCAAAAGUAAUGUGUUUGGUAUUUUGUAGUGAUUGUAACAGUAGCAGCGGGAAAGUAAAUAAGUGUAAACCAGUAUAUGGAAAACUCGUAGGCACCGGAUCAGUGAUGGAUAAUUAUACCGGAUGCGGUUCAUCAUGUAACAGUCAUAACAUAGGGUGACACAGAACUAGCUCCAAUUCAUCAAUGUAAUGUAGGCAUGUAUUCCAUAUAUAGUCAUACGUGCUUAUGGAAAAGAACUUGCAUGACAUCUUUUGUCCUACCCUCCCGUGGCAGUGGGGUCCUAUUGGAAACUAAGGGAUAUUAAAGCCUCCUUUUAAUAGAGAACCGGAAUAAAGCAUUAGCACAUAGUGAAUACAUGAACUCCUCAAACUAUGGUCAUCACCGGGAGUGGUCCCGAUUAUUGUCACUUCGGGGUUGCCGGAUCAUAACACAUAGUAGGUAACUAUAGACUUGCAAGAUAGGAUCAAGUACUCACAUAUAUUCAUGAAAACAUAAUAGGUUCAGAUCUGAAAUCAUGGCACUCGGGCCCUAGUGACAAGCAUUAAGCAUAGCAAAGCCAUAGCAACAUCAAUCUCAGAACAUAAUGGAUACUAGGGAUCAAACCCUAACAAAACUAACUCGAUUACAUGAUAAAUCUCAUCCAACCCAUCACCGUCCAGCAAGCCUACGAUGCAAUUACUCACGCACGGCGGUGAGCAUCAUGAAAUUGGUGAUGGAGGAUGGUUGAUGAUGACGACGACGAUGAAUCCCCCUCUCCGGAGCCCCAAACGGACUCCAGCCAAGAGGUUUUAGGGCUUGGCGGCGGCUCCGUAUCGUAAAACGCGAUGAUUUCUUCUCUCUGAUUUUUUUCUCAACGAAAGCAAAUAUAUGGAGGUGGAGUUGGAGUCGGAGACGCACCAGGGGGCCCACAAGAUAGGGGGCGCGCCCUAGGGGGGGGCGCCCCCCACCCUCGUGAGAAGGGUGUGGGCCCCCUGGUCUUCAUCUUUGGCGAGGAUUUUUUAUUGUUUUUUCUAAGAUGUUCCGUGGAGUUUCAGGUCAUUCCGAGAACAUUUGUUUUCUGCACAUAAAACAACACCAUGGUAAUUCUGCUGAAAACAGCGUCAGUCCGGGUUAGUUCCAUUCAAAUCAUACAAGUUAGAGUCCAAAACAAGGGCAAAAGUGUUUGGAAAAGUAGAUAUGAUGGAGACGUAUCAACUCCCCCAAGCUUAAACCCUUGCUUGUCCUCAAGCAAUUCAGUUGACAAACUGAAAGAAAGAAAGAAAAACUUUUACAAACUCUGUUUGCUCUUGUUGUUGUAACUAUGUCAAGCUAGCAUUCAAGUUUUCAGCAUAAAUCAUAACUAACCACACUUGCAAUAAUUCUCAGGUCUCAUCAUUACUCAUAUCAAUAGCAUAAUCAACUAGCAAGUCAUAAUAAUAAAUCUCGGAUGACAACACUUUCUCAAACAAUCAUAAUAUGAUAUAACAAGAUGGUAUCUCGCUAGCCCUUUCUGAGACCGCAAAACAUAAAUGCAGAGCACCUUUAAAGAUCAAGGACUGACUAGGCAUUGUAAUUCAUGGUAAAAGAGAUCCAAUCAUAGUCAUACCCAAUAUAAAUUAACAGUGAUGAAUGCAAAUGACGGCUGCAUUCUCCAGCUAGUGCUUUUUAAUAAGAGGGUGAUGACUCAACAUAAAAGUAAAUAGAUAGGCCCUUCGCAGAGGGAAGCAGGGAUUUGUAGAGGUGCUAGAGCUCAGUUUUGAAAUAGAGAGAAAUUGUAUUUUGAGCGGUAUACUUUCAUUGUCAACGUAACAACUAAGAGAUGGUGAUAUCUUCCAUGCUAAACACAUUAUAGGUGGUUCCAAAAUAGAAUGGUAAAGUUUAUACUCCCCCUCCACCAACAAGCAUCAAUCCAUGGCUUGCUCGAAAUAAUGAAUGCCUCCAACAUACAUCAGGUCCCAGGGGGAGUUUUGUUUGCAAUUAAUUUUGAUUUAGUUUGCAUAAAGCAUGGGACUCGGCAUCCCGGUGACCAGCCAUUUUCUCGUGAGUGAGGAGCGGAGUCCACUCCUCUUGAGAAUAACCCGCCUAACACGGAAGAUAAGGACAGCCUUUGUUGAUACAUGAGCUAUUCGAGCAUACAAAACAGAAUGUUUAUUUGAAGGUUUAGAGUUUGGCACAUACAAAUUUACUUGGAACGGCAAGUAGAUACCGCAUAUAGGAAGGUAUGGUGGACUCGUCUGGAAUAACUUUGGGGUUUAAGGGAUUGGAUGCACAAGCAGUAUUCCCGCUUAGUACAAGUGAAGGCUAGCAAAAGACUGGGAAGCAACCAGCUAGAGAGCGACAACAGCCAUGUACAUGCAUUAAAAUUAAUAAACAUUGGAUGCAAGCAUGAAUAGGAUAUAAUCCACCAUGAACAUAAAUAUCAUGAAGGCUAUGUUGAUUUUGUUUCAACUACAUGCGUGAACAUGUGCCAAGUCAAGUCACUUAAAUCAUUCAAAAGAGGAUACCACCCCAUCAUACCACAUCAUAAUCAUCUCAAUAGCAUGUUGGCAUACAAGGUAAAUCAUUAUAACCCAUAGCUAAUCAAGCAUGGAACAAGCAACUAUGAUCUCUAAUUGUCAUUGCAAACAUGUUUAUUCAUAAUAAGCUGAAUCAAGAACGAGGGACUCAUCAUAUUUACAAAAACAAAAGAGGUCGAGUUCAUACCAGCUUUUCUCAUCUCAGUCAGUCCAUCAUAUAUCAUCAUAAUUGCCUUUCACUUGCACGACCGAACGGUGUGAAUAAUAAUAAGAGUGUACGUGCAUUGGACUAAGCUGGAAUCUGCAAGCAUUCAAUAAACAGGAGAAGACAAGGCAAUAUGGGCUCUGGUUAAAUCAACAAUAAUGCAUAUAAGAGCCACUUCAACAAUUUAAUAAUGGUCUUCUCCUACUGACCCCCAAAGAAAAGAAAAGAAAUAAAACUAUUUACAUGGGAAAGCUCCCAACAAGCAAAAGAAGAACGAGAAAUAUUUUUGGGUUUUCUUUUUAAUUAUUCUAAGUGCAUCUAGUGCCCCUUAGUGAUUUUGGUGUAUUGAAGACUUAUAGGUUAAGGGACUAAUGCGUGUGUGAGUGUACACAGGUCUAUAAGUCUAUGAGGAGUUUGACAUUUACAGGAAAAGUCGACCCCUAAAAAUGAAUAUCUUUGACUGAAGAUUUUGGUAUUUCUGAAGACUUUCAUGAAGACUUUAAAAGUGAAGAAAUUGGUGUGUCCGUGAAGACUUGAUAUUCAUGCGAGAAAUAUGAAGCUUGAAGACUUUCGUUUUCAUAGUUUUGUUUUUCUCUUUCUUGAGUCAUAGGAAACACCGUACUGUUAAAGGGGGUCGAGGAAAUACUAAGGAAAAAUUUCCAUGUGAUGCUCAACUCAAAAUCCUACACCUACCAAUCCCUUCGAGUGAAGCCAUUGGAAUUACUUGAUGAAAUUGAUCUGAUGAAUUGAUGUCAUAUUCUUCACUGAUGAAGUAUAUGAGUUUGUAAGCUGCACUAAUUCAUCUGCAGGAUGAUCCACCCAAAGCCACUGAGUGGGUCCUUGAUAGUGGAUGUACAAACCACAUGACUGGUGACAAGAAUCUAUUGAUGGAUGCUCCAUUAUCUCCGUCGCAUCUGAAGCAUAUCAUCUUUGCUGACAAAGGCAAAAGUUAGGUAUUGGGUCUAGGUAAGGUUGCGAUUACAAAGGAUCGACACAUGGACAAAGUCAUGCUUGUUGAGUCCUUAGGAUACAACCUUAUGUAUGUCUCAAUGCUUUGUGAUCUUGAUAUGGUUGUUGUCUUUGGCAAGUACCAUUGUGUUGUGGUUAUGGAAGCUGACAAUUCCAAAGUCUUCGAAGGCUUUAGGAGAGGAGACCUGUAUAUUGUUGAUUUCUCUACAGGACCACAACCAGCCAUGUGCUUACUUGCAAAAGCUUCAGAAGGCUGGCUCUAGCAUCGACGACUUGGUCAUGCAUGCAUGAGGAAUUUGCACACGCUUGCGAAGAAGAAGCAUGUCAUUGGCAUCGAGAAUGUCAAAUUCCUCAAGGAUCACUUAUGCGGAGCCUAUGAAGCUGGGAAGAUGACCAAGGCCAAGCAUCUAGCGAAGACUAUCAUGACCACCACUCUCCCAUUUGAAUUGCUUCACAUGGAUCUCUUUGGUCCUAAUCAUUAUUCUGCUAUCUCAAAUGAAGCAUCUCAAUAUGGCUUCGUUAUUGUUGAUGAUUAUUCUCAUCACACAUGGGUACACCUUGUUACUUACAAACAUGAAGUGCAGGAAGUCUUCAAAUGAUUUUCCUCGAGGGCUUCAACCAACUUUGGUGUGAAGAUCAAGCACAUCAGAAGUGACAAUGGCACUGAGUUCAAGAAUUCUGGUCUCGAUGACUAUCUUGAUGAACUUGGUAUCACUCAUGAGUUAUCUGCUCCUUACACUCCUCAGCAGAAUGGCAUCGUGGAGCGCAAGAACAGGACUCUUGCUGAGAUGGCUCGCACUAUGCUUGAUGAAUACAAAACGCCUCGUCGUUUCUGGACUGGGGCAAUUGAUACUAUGUGCCACAUCAUCAACAGAGUAUAUCUUCACAAAUUCUUCAAAAAGACUGCCUAUAAACUCCUCACUGAUAAGAAACCCAAUGUAAGUUAUUUAAAAGUCUUCGGUGCUAAAUGUUGGAUUAGAGAUCCUCAUCACAACUAAAAAUUUGCACCGAAAGCACAUGAAGGUUUUAUGCUUGGUUACGGAAAGGACUCGCACACCUACAGAGUCUUCAACAACGUUCUUCACAAAGUUGUUGAAACUGUAGAUGUGCGGUUCGAUGAAACUAAUGGCUCGCAAAGAGAGCACCUACCUACUGUGAUAGAUGAACCAGCACCUGAGGAAACUAUCAAGUUCAAGGCUACUGAGGAUGUCAUUCCUACUAAAGAAUCUGCUAAAGAAUUCAUUCCAGAACAUGAAGAACGUCAAGCUAAUGCACCUGAAGAAAAUGCUGAAGAAAAUGGUGCUGAAGAAAACGCUGAUCAAACUCUUCAACGACAACCAGCUCAUCCUCGCAUUGCAAAAGAAGUGCAAGUUGAAAAGAUCAUCAAUGACAUCAAAGCGUCAGGUCCUCUCACACGCUCAAAAGCUUCACAUUUGUCUAACUUUUGUGGGCAGUAUGCUUUUGUCUCUAUUACAGAGCCCACUAAGGUAGAUGAAGCAUUUCUGGAGCCUGAGUGGAUUCAGGCCAUGCAAGAAGAAUUACAUCAGUUCGAGCUUAACAAUGUCUGGGAACUGGUCAAACGUCCAGAUCCUCGCAAGCAUAAUAUCAUCGGCACAAAGUGGAUCUACCGCAACAAGCAAGAUGAAAAUGGCCUUGUGGUGAGGAAUAAGGCACGGCUUGUAGCUCAAGGCUACACACAGGUUGAAGGAAUUGAUUUCGAUGAAACUUUUGCACCUGUUGCUAGACUUGAGGCUAUUCGCAUAUUACUUGCUUAUGCUAACCAUCAUGAUAUCACUCUAUAUCAAAUGGAUGUGAAAAGUGCAUUCCUCAAUGGUAAGCUUGAGGAAGAAGUGUAUGUUGCUCAACCCCGAGAUUUUGAAGAUCCAAAGAAUCCUGACAAAGUCUUCACACUCAACAAGGCCCUCUAUGGCCUCAAGCAGGCCCCACGGGCUUGGUAUGAUACUUUGAAGGAACUCUUCAUGAAGAAAGGCUUCAAACCCGGUUCACUCGACCCUACUCUUUUCACUAAAUCUUAUGAUGGUGAAUUGUUUGUGUGCCAAGUAUAUGUUGAUGAUAUUAUCUUUGGCUAUACUGACCAACGUUAUAGUGAUGAAUUUGACUAUAUGAUGAGUGAAGAAUAUCAAAUGUCUAGGAUGGGAGAGUUGAAAUUCUUCUUAGGUCUUCAAAUUCGUCAACAACACAAUGGCAUAUUCAUAUCUCAGGAGAAAUACCUCAAGGAUGUACUGAGGAAAUUCGGCAUGCAAGAUUGCAAAGGCGUCAAAAUUCCUUAUUAUACUUAUGUGCAUCUAACCUAUGCAAUGGCCAUCUAUGCACUUCGAUCAUAAGGUAUACCGCUCCAUGAUAGGUUCCUUAUUAUACUUAUGUGCAUCUAGGCCAGAUAUAAUGCUUAGUGUUUGCAUGUGUGCCCGAUUUCAAGCUGCACCGAAGGAAUCACACCAUAAGGCUGUGAAGCAUAUUCUUCGAUAUCUAGCUCACACACCAACACUUGGAUUAUGGUACCCCAAGGGCUCGGCUUUUGAUCUUGUUGGAUAUUCUGACUCUGACUAUGCCGGUGAUCGUGUGGAUCGCAAGUCAACAUCUGGUACAUGUCAUUUCCUCGGACGAUCUUUGGUCUGUUGGUCCUCGAAGAAACAGAACUGCGUAUCACUAUCUACUGCUGAAGCUGAGUACAUUGCCGCUGGUUCUUGCUGUGCCCAAUUGCUAUGGAAGAAGCAAACUCUCAAGGACUACGGCUUCAACAUGGAGAAUGUAGCUCUCUUCUGUGACAAUGAGAGUGCCACCAAGAUUGCUCACAACCCAGUUCAGCACUCGAAGACAAAGCACAAUCAGAUUCGUCAUCAUUUUCUUCGUGAGCAUGUGUUGAAGGGCGACAUUUCUAUUGAGCAUGUGAAGACUGAAGAACAGCUAGCCGAUAUCUUCACAAAGCCCUUGGAUGAGAAGAGAUUUAGCAAGUUGCGGUGUGAGCUAAAUAUCUUAGAGUCUUCGAAUGUUCUUUGAAAAGGACACUCAUCCUAACACUUAUGCAAAAUUGAUGACUUAGAUGUGCAACACAUGAAGAAACGUUUUUCUUCAAUCAAUGAAGAAUAACACUCUUAGUGUGAAGAAAUUAACGAAGAAUUUGAUUCUCAGAACCCUACGAUAAUUGUACGCGGUAUCUGAAAUCAUCAUUCUUAUACGGUGGGUCACGCCACCACCAAAAGUUGAAAUUCCUUGAAUUAUUCAUAUUCUUCAACUUUGCAUAGUCUUCACUGGUUCCGUCGUUUUUCUUCAUUGGCUAUAUAUAUAUAUAUAUAUAUAUAUAUAUAUAUAUAUGAGUUUAUGUCCUCUACAGCAUUCACUUAUUGCUAUUUCUUCAAGUUGGUUUUCAGCUAAGUGAAUGUGAUCGGACCCUUCCCCUCUAUGCUAUACUCAACCCAAUCUGUUCACAAAUUCUUCAUGUGCAUUCUAUUUGAAACUCGUUCAAAAUCUUCACUGUGUCCUUGUCAGCUGAAGAAAUUGUGAAUGGAACUUUAAAACCUAUCUUAUCGAAAUUUUCGGUUUUGCCGUUCAAACCGUUCCGCAUCCCUCGAUACACUUAUCCACUCACCCACGAUCUAACACGAUCUCCACCUCUCACUACGUGGGUGACACAUGUCAUGCGAAUGAGAAGGGUCAGGGGCACGUUCAUCCAAUUUCUUCGGGCGAGCAGUUUUUCACCGUGGCUAUAAAUACCCCUCCUUCCCUUCCUCACUUCUUUUACUCCGCUCGACCUCUCUCUCCAGCUCGAGCUUCUCAAACCCUAGUGCCACCGCUACUUCAUCACCGCCGGUGAGGAAGAGCUUCACUGCCUCGACCUCGUCGCCGACGUACUCGCGCCGACCGCGGACAUCUUCACUCCGCCACCGUCGUAGCCGUCUUCCUCCGCCAAGUUAGGGCAUGGAAGAUUUGCACAGACGAACUUCACAUCUCCUCACUCCAGUUCAUCGUGUUCUUCAUCCAGGGUAAAUAAAAGUUACUUUUACUGCCCUCGUUGAUUCGAAUGAUUAUCUACAAAAUCUUCAAAAGUGUUUUUUUCUUCAUAUCUUCACACACUGAACACCUCACAAGUCAUAUGUUCUUGAUUCGUUUCUCUAAGCAUCAUUUUUCUUCAAGAUUCCUCAAUUGUGUGGAUCAUCGAUCUAUACAACUCUGGAACCUAAGACAAAGAACGCUUAGUGAAAAUCUUCAAGACUCAUCUGGUCAAAUUCCUCAAACCUGUUCAUUUUGAAAAACCUUCUGAGAACGCAUAUGACCUCUCCAAAUUCCUCGCAACUAUACUCUGUUCACAGGUACACAUGUCAGCUGCUGAAUCACUAGGCUCUCAUCAACUUAACUCAUUUGCAGUGUUCCUCGAAGAAAAGUUGCAUACUUCUUCAGAGAAUUCGAUUGUUCAAAUUCCUCAACUAAAGAAAAUGGCUGAUGGUAAAAGGCCAUAGAAGGGAGGAAAGAGGCCUGAGGUAAAUACAGCGUUUGAGAUCCCUGAUGACAUAUAUGCUGGGUACUGCACACCUACUGAGGAAACCAAGAAUGAGCGCAAAGUACGUAUUCAGAAGAUAGAGAGGAGAUGGGCAAGAGAAUGGAGGGAGUACAGAUAUGUCACUCCUAAGUAUAUGAAGAAAUUCGCACUCAAUCCUCCAUGCCCAAGAGCUCCAUUGGCACCUGGCCAAAUAGCAGAUCCCACCAGCCUCAAGCGAGGUGAGGACUAUCCUGAUGAAUGGGCCAAGUGCCAAGCCAAGCUGGCUAAGCAAGCCAGAGAAGCAGUGAGGAAAUUUAAUGAAGACUCUGCUGCUACUGCUACCUCUGCUGAGGUCCUUGUUGUCAAGCAAAAGAAGGCUAUGUCAAAGAAGCCUGCGCACAAGCCAAGUGCUUCCUCAGCAAUGCCCUCACGGCCAGAAUCAUCAAAGCCCUCACAGCCAAUUCCUCAUGCUGCUCCUAUUCCUCCAAAGUCCUCAGCUCCUCCACCAAAGCCUUCAGCUGUUCCGACCAAAUCCUCAGCACCUGUGCAUCUUGCUUCGUGCCAAAGGACUGCCGGCAUCUCCAUUGCCUCAGGUGUCUCAGCUAGUUCCUCAGCUGCACCAAGUUCCUCAGCUGGCCCCUCACUACUGAAGACAAAGGCCACUGCUGGACGAGGUCCACGCCCAAGUCCUCAAAAGAAGCAAGUCGCUUUCCAAGUGCCGUCUGAUGAAGACGAAGCUGAUGAUGAUGAACUUGCAGAAAUCAUCAGAGACAGGCAUGUCAGGGCCGCUAGAGCCAAUGGAUCAGAGGUGCCACUGCUUUUGGAUCCCAAGCUGAUCCUCGACUACAUUGAUGAUUGGCACAAGAACCCCAACACUCCCUUGCCCGACUUCAAGCUGACUCCUGGCCAAAGUCACAUGCUGACCCACUUCAUUCAAGAAGAAAAGUGGAAAUUUGAGAAGGCCAAGCAGAUCAAAAAAGCGCAGUACAAGAAAGAGCGCUAUCUGAAGAAAAACGUUGUCUCUAUGACAACUGAAGAACUUGUCACUACUCAGACUGAGAUUAAGAAACUCAGUGAUGACUUUGAAGCAUAUCGCGCUGAUUGGCUUGGAGCCAAGGUUUGUUUUGUGAAACUUGCGGAUAACUUCACUUCCAAUGUUGCAGCCCCAACGCAACAGGAAAUUCCUCAGGCUGAAGCAUCUGCUCAGCCUACUGAAGAAAAUGCCAGCACCGCUGAUGACAAUCAGGAUGCUAAAGAUAAUGUGAGUUCCAGGGCUGAUGACUGCAUUCCAGCCGCUGAAGAAAUUGCCAGGGCACCCACUAGUGGUGUGCCUGAAGAAACUGAAGAACUCAGGGAAACUGCAUCAGUUGUGCCUAAAGAAAAUCAACCAGAUUCCUCAGCUUCUCCUGCACCAACUUUAACUUCAAUCCUUCCAUCUGCAUCGGAUGUGAAGAAGACCAAGGCUGCAGAGUGUUCUACAGUGAAGAAAAGGAAAGCAUCAGCUGCUUCAGAUUCUUCAGCUCCGAAGAAAAUGAAGCCUAUGACAAGCUCAUUUGCAAAUCCGAUUGAUGUUGUUCCCAUCUCAACCAGGCCAUCAAAGGACCUUGUUACUUUUGAUGAAGAAUAUGUGAUCCCCAGCGGAUCUGAUGAAGAAACUCAUUCUGCUGCUUCGUCUGAACCAUUGGAUGAAGAAAUUGAAGUGGAUGUGAUCCCUUCAACACCUAUCAUCUCCUCUCCUAUGCCUCAGUUCACAGCUGAAGAGGCUGGCGUUGAAGAAAUGGAAGAUGAUGAUGUGGACAUUGGCUGCUCCACACCCGUCAUCAGUGAUGAAUUCUGGGAAAGUCAGCAUCCAAACUCUCCAAUGUUCACCCCUCUACAGCAAAUUCCUCAGUCCCCCACACAAACUGUUCACAUGGGCUCUGAAGAAACUCAUCCCACUGCAUAUGUCCAUGAGGAAAUUCCAGCCACUAGCGCUGAUGAAACUGUUGCUGCUGCACAACCAACUACGCAGACUGCCACUGAGGAAGAACCAGAAAUUCCUCAGCCUGAAGAACCUGCGAUUGAGAUUCCUAAGGUUGUGAUGCAACUCACUAACACUCCUCUGCCAAAGCCAAAGGAUCCAUUCUCGCGCAAGCAAAAGUUCAAGGCUGAUGAUUUCUUCGGCGAGCACGUAUUCUUCGAAGAUUACAACCCAUAUGACUCUGCUCACAUUAGGAAGAGGUGUUUCUGGACUGCUAGUCAAGCCAAUUUCUAUUCCUCAGUGCUAUUCAACAAGGAGAAGAUUUUCUACCAUGAGCAUAUUCCUCACGUGGAUAUGGAAUCUCUGCCGUGCUUCGCACCAGUCCUCAGUGUUCUUCACGAUGCUGGGCUGCUCAACUUUUGCUCUGACAUUUGCGAUUGGAAUGAAGAACUGAUUCUUCAAUUCUAUGCAACGCUGCACAUCACCGGAGAUCCUGAAGAUGUGAAUUCAUGGGUGCUGGACUGGAUGUCUGAAAACACUCACUACACUGCACCAGCCUCUGAAUUGCUUCGUGCUCUACCACUCAGUCCUCCCCUUGAAGAAGCUCGCUGCAUCUACAGUGAACCUGAGCUCACGCAUCAUUACUUGCAGGUGCUGAUGAAACCUUUGAAGCCAGGUCAAGCACCAAGAACCAAAUUCCUUGUGAAGGAAUUGUUGUACGUGCCCAGAACUAUCUAUCGUAUUCUUAUGAGGACAAUCAGUCCUAUCAAAGGCCACGACUCAUCUGAUGAGGAAAUUGUUGGCAUCAUGAAGAAUCUGGUAUUCAACAUCAUUCAUGGCAUUCCUGUCAAUUAUCACGAUUUCUUCAUGAGGACUAUGGCCAAUGUUGCACUGUCUCCGUUUGAGCUGAAGCCUUAUGCACCUUGGAUCAUGAGAUUCCUCAGGACAAGGUCUUCACUCAACUACAAAGCUUAUUUCCAGAAUCAUCUCAGCUACUUGCCCCCAAUUGAAGUCCUCAAGCAGACAUAUUCCUCAGUUGAUGGAAAGGGCAAGGCACCAACUGUAAUUGAUGAAGGCAUUCGUCCAUUGGAUGGUCAGUUUCGCAAAGUUGCAUCUUAUUCCACCAAUGAUGACUCUGCCACACAUGACUCUGCCAAUGCACCUAAGUCCACUCCUCAAGCCACUGCUCCUCGCGUGAUGACUGACCGUGAACUUCUGCUUAGUCUUCACCAGAAGGUGGAUCGAAAUCACAAAUGGGUUAAGCGUCAGUUUGGUUCACUUCUUCACAACAUGACUGCCACACACAAUGAAGUGAAGAAAAACCACUACUACCUCCAUCAAGUCUUCGGUCGCACCUGGGCAAUCCUGUCACAUCUAUAUGGUGAAGAAGAUCUGAAGAACAUGGGUCUUAAUGAAGAUUUUGACUGGUCUACACCUCCUCCGAAGAAAUUCAAGAAGGUCAAGGUUCCUUCUCUGGUGGCCAGCUCAUAUUCUUCAUCGCGCGACACUGAUGAACAUGAAGAUUUGGACGACACUGCGGCAGGCCCUACAUCAACAAACGACCCCAACAACACCGGCGCUCCUUCAUCAACAUGAUUAUCUUCAGGGGCGUUAGUCCUCAUUUUCGAUCCUUUUGGUCAUUCGAUGACAAAGGGGGAGAAAUAUGAGUUAGUCUUCAAGCGGGUCUACUAUAUGGGCGUUUUUAUCUGCUAAGUUACAACUCUCGUUCUUCUGAAACUUUAUUGGAUCGAGUUGUAAUCUUAAACCUGAUGGUGCUCUGAUACUUUUGAUGCAUUGUUCUCUGAUACUCUUGAUGCACUAUUCUGCAUGUUUAUUCCUCGUUAAAUAUUAUUGCACGCAUGCUGAAUUUCAUCAGGCACCAUAUUUCAUCAUGCAUUUCAAAUUCUUCGUAUUAUAUGUUAAAUGCAUGUAUGAAUUACAAGAUAUAGGGGGAGAUCUCCAUGAUUCAACUCUUCAAGUGUGCAUUGCUUCAAAAGAAAAUUCCUCACUAUGCACAUCUUUAGGGGGAGUUCUUCUAUAUCUUGCAAUCAAAUUCCUCAAUAUCAGUAUUUACACUUCAUAUGUUUAUUCCCGUUGAAAACUUAACCUAUAUUGUCAUCAAUCACCAAAAAGGGGGAGAUUGUAAGUGCAUCUAGUGCCCCUUAGUGAUUUUGGUGUAUUGAAGACUUAUAGGUUAAGGGACUAAUGCGUGUGUGAGUGUACACAAGUCUAUAAGUCUAUGAGGAGUUUGACAUUUACAGGAAAAGUCGACCCCUAAAAAUGAAUAUCUUCGACUGAAGAUUUUGGUAUUUCUAAAGACUUUCAUGAAGACUUUGAAAGUGAAGAAAUUGGUGUGUCCGUGAAGACUUGAUAUUCAUGCGAGAAAUAUGAAGCUUGAAGACUUUCGUUUUCAUAGUUUUGUUUUUCUCUUUCUUGAGUCAUAGGAAACACCGUACUGUUAAAGGGGGUCGAGGGAAUACUAAGGAAAAAUUUCCAUGUGAUGCUCAACUCAAAAUCCUACACCUACCAAUCCCUUCGAGUGAAGCCAUUGGAAAUCUCAUACAGUUCAGUCAAUUUCUUUAGUGACAGAGACGAAGUUCUUCUGGUCUCUGAGGAAUUUGUCCUGACUAAGGAGUUAGGAAUUCGCCAAUGCGGAUUGCCUACACAGUGAAGAACAUGAUAGCCCUGAGGAUUUUACUACUCAAAAUUCCGACUGUUGCUGUGCUAUGCGCCAGCUGUCCCAAAAUAUAUAUCCACCUAACGGUCAUAUCAUUGAAGGGCAUUUAUGUCUUAUCAUGUCAGGCUGCUCCCUAGGAUAUAAAUAGCCGCCCCCUACAACCACUAGCUGGUUGGAUGCUCCAAGAGAAACUGACACUUGUCAUUUGAGAGCAACCCAUCCUCCGAGGACUUUGAGCGAAAAUCAUCAAGUGAGGAAAAACCAAGAACCCAAAACCCAAACACCUACAAAGCCCAAGUGAUUGAGCAUCACUGAAGAGAUUGAUCCUGAGUGGAUCCGACGCUUGUUACCUUUGAAGACUGUGCUUCUUCCAGACGGUUAGGCGUCAUGGUCUAGAGCAUCCAAGAGGAAUUGUGGAUCGCCGAGUGACCAAGUCUGUGAAGGUUUGGAAGUCGCCUGAAGACUUACCACGAGUGAUUGGACGAGGUCUGUGUGACCUUAGUUCAAGGAGAAUACGGUGAGGACUGGGUGUCUUGGAAUAAGUGUCCUUGACUGGGUGUCCGGGACUGUGUGUCCUCGAGUUUAAAUACUCAGCUGCUCCAACCAGACGUACAACUGAGACAGCAGUUGGAACUGGUCUACCAAAUCAUUGUCUUCACCGAGCUUACUGGUUUUAUUUCCUCAACUCUUUCAUUUCCUCAUAACUGUGUUGUAUGUUUGUUCAUAUCUGUGUUUGAAGACUUUGACUGAAGACUUUCUCAAUUUCCUCAGUUCAAUUUCUUCAGUCUGUUUGUCUUCAUCCUGUGUUAUCCUGUGAUUACUCUUCCUGUACUCUGUGUCUGUCUUCAUUUCAUCAUGAUGACUAUGCUUGUA